rnacentral:lncRNA from 1 species
CUUCAUUCCAGUUUGAAAGAAAAAAAAAAAAGAUUGAGGAGGAAUGAAGGAAAAAAGAUCUUGGACAGUUGUUGCCAGCGGGACAAUGGUGCGGCAUUAAUAGUGCAUGGAUCACUGAGGGUGCGGAUAUCUGCUCACAGCUGGAAUUUGCUGCAUUCCUGCUACUUAAUAUGGUGAGUCUCACCUCCAUUAUCUGCUGCAGGAUUCAGCUUGGAAAGAGAUGGGACAUUUUUAGGGCUGUAAUACUGAGUUUAGUGACGUGUCUGCAGAUAGUCAGUGAGUUGAAGCAGUCCCAUCCCAACCCAUUGGCAAGGCUCCCUGUCUCAUCCUGAUUUCAUAUAGUGUUUCAGUCCUGUGUAUUAAGCACAAUAGAGGGGGAUUCCUCUGCAUUCCUUCCAGCAUUUGGUGGGUUACAUUUAAUGUAUUCCAGAACUAGAAGAUAAGAGUGUUUGUGGCCCUUUUGUGAAUUCUUCUACCCGGAAGGCUUGGGAACAUGAGGUAUUCUUGGUGAAAUAUUUGAUACAUGCAGUGCUACUUUGUUAGUAGGGAUCAUGAUGUGGCGAUCAGUAAGGAAUAUCUCAUUCUGAACAAUUCACAGUGCAGCAGGCAUGGCCAAUCAGUUGAUCUAGUAUGUAGUGCUUGACUUUUUCCUGAACUAUUCCAGAAUCGCUACAUAAUUUUUUUUUUAAAUCACAAAUAUGUGCUCUGUUUAACUAUUAGUAAUUACAUCUCUAAGUGCCUUACCUGCAUGUAUACUGCAUUAUAGUGUGAUCAUGUUGAAAACAGAAAUAUUUAUAAUUCAGUAUAAUUCAGUUUUGUGCAAAUCUUGUUCUGUAUUUGCUUUUUGUAACAUGGAAUUGGCAAUGUUUGCUAAAAUAUAAAACUAUGUCCAUAAUGUAAUGUUAGUGUUGUCCUCAGUGUUACACAGGCUGCCCAUCUUAUUGUUUGUACACCUGCAGAACAGCCUGGCAAGGGUCACACAACCCCCUAAACACACACUAAACAGAGAGUUGUGAUGUGUUGACAAUUACAUUAGAAUUUUAUAAUAUUAAUCUUAAGGAAAACUAUAGGUAAGCAGAUCGCUUCAUCUCAUUGAAGUUGUCUGGGUGCACUGUCCUUGUCCCAUUAACCCUGCAAUGUAAAACAUUGCAGGGUUAAGACUGCCUCUAAUGGAUAUUUACCAGAAGGCCACUAGAGGCACUUCCUGGAGUUCCACGGAGUUUGACUCUGCGAAACGGCACUGGAUGUCCUCGCGCUGUGCAUGCGGAUGUCGAUCAUUUUCAAAAUUCCCAUAAGAGAGCAUUGCACAUUAGGUUCCUUCGAUGGGCUGACAUCCGCUAGGUGGAGCACGACCUGCCGCCAAGGGACAUUGUGACUGGAAUCUGGUGUUUAAAGUUAUUUAAUCCUUAAUAUUGCUUGGAAGCAGAGGGUUCCUAUAGUGUUAGAAAUACAUCUUUGUAUUCCCAACACUAUAGUGCUCCUUUACUUUAUACAUUUUUAGAUACCUUGAUACAUCCCAGUUUGAGCUGCUUAGCUGACUCUCUCAGCCUAUCAUAGGCUCUCUAUAGCGUGAAAAUGUACAUAUAUUUUAUUUAUCUUGCACUAGCAAUCUAUGGGUACGUAGUGGCUGAGUGUGGUAAACCAUUAUUAAACAGUUUAACACUAGAUGUUAAAACAGUGCACCUGACACCAUAACCACUUAAUUGAGAUGAAUGCUAUUUACUGCUAGAAGCAUUCAAAUCACGUGUCCUCCAUAACCCAAGCAAUCUGGCAAUUCUACUGCCAAAGCUCUCUGCAGUGCAUGAUUUGUGAUUUGUAGUUUACCGUUACUGUUGUUUUUUAUGAAGUAGACAAUGUGUGUGUAUAUAUACUGCACACUAGCAGAUUAUAAUUAAUAUUCUGAUUAGCAUUUAUGUAUCGUCAACAUAUUCUAAGGCAAUUUGCAGUUUUAAUGUGAGGAUAUAAUGGCAAAUAAAGGAGAUUAUUCGAAAUGUUAACAGGGACAAGAGGUUAAUGAAGCAGAUGAGGUAUAAGAGCAUAGAGGAUAGCACAACAUGGUGGAUAAAAUAAACUGGUGAGUGUAGUGGAAUGUGAAGCCUCUAAUCAUGUCAGGACUGAGGACAAGAGGUUUUGUAAAUGCAAUUAUUACACAUGGAGACCAUAGGCUUGUCUGAAGAGACCAUUUUUAAACAUGACUGAAUUAAAGCAAAAAAAAGACCUAAGCAUUUAUAGGCAGAUCAGCUUAAUAGGAGAUAGAGGAUCCAAUGUGUGUGUGUUAUCUUCAGUGACACUCAUACUCCAUCAAAGUCAACACUCCAGUUCGGUGGAGAAUAGGGGCUGUGGUUUGUGUGUGGGACGAUAAGGGCCUGCAAGCUUCCCAUUAGCCUCAAUUUAGGUGUAACAGCCCACAUGUUAGGGUCUUGUCUUACUAUCCCAAUUUUGUUCUCUGGUAUACCACAUUUGGGGGCACCAAGGAAAUGUGCUCAGCUAGCAAAGCCUGAGCACAUCUUUAGAAGCACUUGCGCUAUGUUGAAUCAUACAGAGCGUUUCUGUAGCACUGUUUGCAUGGUCAGCCCUGAGUGGGGCUAGCUUGGAAGCUCUGUCAUCUUGGCAAGCAUUUACACCAGACACACACUCACCUUAUGUGGGCAAUUGCACCUCGUUUCCAGGUGGGACUGUUCAUUUUGAGCAUUGCCAGUUAUGCAAGAGUCAGACUAGUUACUGGCAUGCUCCCUCUAGGCCCAAAUCCAUGCUUCCUCAAGUCGGGAGAUAUGGAGCUUUAGUGUUUCUACAUGUCUAUGGUUAGGGACUGUUGUGUGUAUGUGUGGGGCUAUAGAGGCUGUUGUGUAUGGGUAGGGUAAUGGGGGCUAUAGUGUGUACAGUUUGUGCAAAGGAGCAGAUAGGCUGUAUUGUUCAUGCAUGGGGACUAAGCGUGUGUGUGUGUGUGUGUGUGUGUGGAAAAAAAUAUAUAAAGUUGAUCUUGUGCCCUCCCUCUUUUCUGUCUUGAGUCAGAGAGGUGGGAAUGCACAUCCUGAGUGGUCUGGUGAUAACCCUCACCAGCCAGCAAAAUUUACUACAGGGUGGCCCAGGGGCAGGAUGGUGGAGAAGAUCAAUGUAUUGUACAUUCACCAGAGCAUAUGUGGUGUGCCCACACUGGAUGCAAGUUCACUUGACCCCCUUGCAUUAGAGUGUACUGACCGGUAAAGGAAUUUGCUUGAUCUCGCCAACAUGCAUAUGGCAUUAGAGUUGCCUUUUUAACACUGGCAGUAGGGUAACAUUUGACCUGCAUGGGCUGAAUGGGGAGAUCCUUUUUAUCUCCCCAUUCGCUUCAGCCCAAGGACAUCACGGGAGACAGGUUGUUCUAUAGGAAUGAAGCUGCCCUUGAGAAUUCCUCUAGGUAAGAGUUAGUAUUACAAGUGUAAGUAAAAGACCAGACAAGGUCACUGGCAAAACUGAUGACCGAGAAGGAGUGGACCCAUGAAUUCAUGAAGAAACGUAAUUCCCAGAAUCUCCAGCUUGUGAAAGCAGAAGCCAUAUACUUUCCAGAAACCUUUGCACAUUAUUUGUAUUUUUGUUAGCUGGUUUCUUUCUUUAGAAGAAGGAGAAUCCCACACGUCAUCAUGCAAAAAAAAUAAAAUGGAGAGUGCACUUGUUUGUUUAUGUGAUUCGUAAAACACCUCUGUAUAAUUAUGUAUUCAUUUAUUGUUUAAUUGUAUACCCUAUCUAACCUGUAUUGGUACACUUUGGUGUUAUCUUGAGAAAGAUCUCUUGGAGAUCGAAACUUUACACUUUUCCCCCAAAUAAAUCUGCUGCAUAAUUGACCCUCAAGUGCCUGGACCACAACUUUGUUCAACUAUUACGGUGGGUGUAGUAGCCAGCCCCAGGUCUGGUAGCACUGGGAUCUCAGUAAGAGUGCAGUAUUCCCUUUCUUUUUGAUACAUCAUGAAUAUGUAAAGUAACAACUUGAAGACAAAUUAACCUCUUUAAUUCAGAGCCAUAUUGUAGUCGUUUCUUUGGAGUAUUGUGUGAGCACAAAGAAUAACAAGCCCUGGCUAUUGGUAAAAGGGUAUCCAAGUGUUAUAUUCCUAAUUUUCUUUGGAUGUUGGAUUUUUAGGUUGUCUUUGGAUUUUGAUAUGUGCACAUUUUAUUACAGAUAUUUACUGAUUAUUCAUUAACCUUACCCACUCUUAUCACUGACCAUAAUGUAAUCCAGGAAGUGGCUAGUAGCCAGCUGUACUCUGCUAGCUUUUUAUGCGAGGGUUGCUAUGCAAUUGCUAACCUGUAUACAUGCUUAGUAAGUUGUCAUUCUGGACCAUGGAGAAUGUGCAAUGAUCUGACGCCUUCUCUUUUAUUUUAUUUUAUUUUUUUUAUUUUUUAUUUUUUUUUUUUAUUAUUUUAUGCAAAGCAGGCUUUAAUAGUAAUUGUUUCAGAUAUGAGCUCAAAAACAUCAGCUUGAUUUAGUGAUUUAACAGGCUUAGGGCACAGAAGAAUGCUGGUUAGUCAAUCCUUUGCUUUGGAGGAACGCAUCCUGCUUCGGGUCACGGCCAAGAAAGUUACAAAGCAUUUCUGAGGCAUCAAGAGACCCACCUGGUUUCAGAAUAUAGUUCCUAUAAUCUGCACCCACCUCUUUGCACAUUAUGCCUUCCUGUUUAAACCGUGUGUAAAACAUGUCCAUAGAAAACACCUCACUCCAUAAAUAGCCAUAGUACUGUGCAUCAUAUCCUCCAGCAAGAUGGCCAAAUGUGUUUAUUUUUUAAUAUACAGCUGUUAUUAUGUUAAACAUAGUAUCAUAUAAAUAUUUGUACUUUUCAUGCAUCAAGUUUCAUUUUUAUUUGGUGAAAAUUCACAAUUCUAUGUCAAACAUAAAUAUAUUUUGCAUGAUUGUCAUCCCUGAUAAAAUGGUAUGUGAAGUAAUAUAAGAAUGACCUCAAUAUUUUUUUUUCCAAUUAAAUCUCUGAGGGAAUUUUACUGAAAGGCUACUGCAUGUGUGGGGUAUGCUUGGUAAAGCAUUCCACUCUUAAAAAAAAAAAAAAAAAAGCUCAGGUUUUUGUGAGGCUUUUCCUUGCUUUGACAACCUUGUAUUAAAAUAAUUUGUGUGCAUUCUUUCUUUAAAUGUUGCCUGCACAAAUAAAGGUGGGAGCAAGGAGCACCCCUGUCUUGUUCCAUUGGUGAUGAACACUAUUGUCAAUGAUAAUUGAUAAUGACUCUUUAAUAUGGAUCCAAACAUGAGUUUAGAAUGUGAUAACUUUAUAGAUAGUUAUAAUAAGAGAAGUACAGCUUUUUUGUCUCAAACCAAAGUGUUGUAUGUCAUGAAUAUAAAUUGCCAACCCACCCAGCUCAAAUGUUUUUUGGCUCGAUUUCAGGUACAGUGCAAAAUGUUGGCUCUUUAUAGAUAGUUAUAAUAAGAGAAGUACAGCUUUUUCCAGUCUAUACAUGCUCUCUGUAUGAUGAUAAAACUGCAGUUUGCAUUAUUGUCCAUUGCCAGACUAAAAUCCUGGCUGAUGUGGGUGGACUGAUUUACACAGUAAUUUUGGCAAAACUUAGCGUAUGAGGAAGACAGUGAGUUUGUCAGAAUGUCAGAGUGAAUCAUGUAUAAUAUAAAAUGAAAAGGCUUCACAAAGUAGAUUUAGUUUGUUUUAAGGGUUUAUAGCAUCUGCGUGUUCGUGGGCUUUAUUGUUGUUGGAAGUCAUUGUCACAAAUAGAUUACAAAAGUCCUACUCGCCUUCUUGCACACUGUGACACUCACCCACAACCCUGUCACUCACCCCUCAGCCUUGCCACACUCACCCUGUCACAUUAACCUCCAUAAACCUGUCAUUCGCCCCCUAAUCCAGUCAUGCUCACUCUCCUCAAUCUGUCACCACCACCCCUCAUCCCUGUUAUACUCUCCCUUCUUCAACCUCUGAAGACAGUCAUCAUAUACACACACUUAUAAAACACAGCUUCUCCAUAAACAAUGCACAAAGGCCACAAGCAGCCCCCCAUACAUACAACUAACUGAAAGCUGGUCUCCCACAUAUAUACAGUCCAAGACACAGACAUACAUAUGCUCACAGAGACCCACAUUCUACAAGGAUACUCGCAAUUGGACACACACUCUCACUAUAGGGAAUUAUAGUGCCAGGAAAACAGCUUUGUUUUCCUGGAACUAUAGUAUUUCUUUAAAAGGUAGAGUGUAAAGAGGAAGGGGGGGGGGGGGUUCUUAAUCAGGAAAGGGUGGUAAGUUUAACUCAGUUUUAGUCAUGCCUGGGGCAGCACAAAAUUUUAAAUACACCACUGUGUGAGUGUCUGUGAGUGUAUGUGUGUGUCUGAGAGUGUGUGUGUGUGUGUGUGUGUGUGUGUGUGUGUGCACGCGUUUAUAUAUGCAUACAUAUAUGCAUUGGUGGGGGAUCUUGGGUGAAUUCCCACACUUUUUUACCCAGGACUUGACCCCUGUUUAUCUAUGCAUACUUAAAUGAAAAAUAAAUGUACACAUUAUAUUUCUGGAAUACUCAAAAUACUUUAAUUCUGGGUUGGUUGUUUUUAUUUUUUAUUUUAUUUUUUUGCAAACUACUUAGGUGUGAAUUAAAUGUUGGUCUCUUAUUUUUUUUUUUUACAUUCUUUAUUUUUGUGGUGCAAAUAUUUAACAUACGCUCUUGCUAUGCCACAACAGCAAUAACAAGGAUUGUAAUACACACAGUUUAACAGGUACAUGGCAUAUAUGAUUACUGCACACAUUUUUAAAUAACGUUGUAAUAUAAUAGGCUUGUCAAACAUGUCUGGAGUAUAGGGAAAAGCAUCUUAGAAAAUUGUCGCCUACUUAGACAUGUUGAUGAUAAGAAAAUAGAUGGCAAAACAGGAUUAUAAAGCAGGAUUAUAAAGCAGGAUUCUGAAGAAUUGAUUAUUAGAGAACGAACUAAACAUAAGCCAAUGUAGGCUUCAAGAAAUGUUGAUUAGACCAGCUACCCGACCUCUGUGUAUAACAUACAUGCUUUUAAGGAUACUCUGUAUUGUACUGUGGCUAGGCACAUUUGUUAAAGGAUCACUAUAAAGUCAGGAACACAAACAUGUAUUCCUGACCCUAUAGAGUUAACACCAUCUAGCCCCCCUGAGACCCUAAUUCCUCCAUAAAAAUAGCAAAAUCUUACUGUUUUCAAGCCAGAAGCUGGAGAUCUGCAUGCUGUUUGCCUAAAAAAACAACAAGCAGUCUGCUGACACCAUCAGAAGUGGUAGCCUGAUCCAAUCACAAUGCUUCCCCAUAGGAUUGGCUGAGACUGACAAAGAGGCAGAUCAGGGACAGACACAGAGCCAGCAUAAUUCAAACACAGCCCUGGCCAGUCAGCAUCUCCUCAUAGAGAUCGAUUGAAUCAAUGAAUCUCUAUGAGGAAAGUUCAGUGUCUGCAUGCAGAGGGAGGAGAUACUGAAUGUUUGGAUGCAUUUUAGGCAGCCAUGACCCAGGAAGGAUCUCUAAUAGCCAUCUGAGGAGUAGCCUGUGAAGUUAUCACUAGGCUGUAAUGUAAACACUGCAUUUUCUCUGAAAAGACAGUGUUUACAGCAAAAAGCCUGAAGGUAAUGAUUCUACUCACCAGAACAGAUUCAAUAAGCUGUAGUUGUUCUGGUGACUAGAGUGUCCCUUUAAAGGUAUGUACGGCUAAGUGCAAUUAUUAGUGAGAUUCCUAGUUUUAAACUAUGCUAGCAUAUAGGUUAUAAUAUGGGGACGUGCUGAUCUAUAUGGUAUGACUACUUAAGGUAUUAUAAAAAUUAAGUACAUCCCUUUAGGCGCAUGUCCGGGCUGCCAGCCAGUUAAGUAGAAGUGAACACUUUCAGAUUAUAAUUAUGCUAGUAUACAUCUGGGUUGAGGGGAACAAGAAAAUAACAUGUGGUAUAAAGACAAAUCUAGCUAAAAUUUAAUAUAUAAAACGCUAGGCUGGUUUAAAGGAAUGUUGUUUAGCCUAUGCCGGACACCUGGUGAGUAUGGCAGCACAGUUCCAAGUCCCUCCAUGCAGCACUCCAUCUGCUCUGCUUUUAGACAGGCUUGUGUAGGUGGUCUCCGUGCUCUGUCAUUGUUCUGCCUGGGUCAGUCCAGACCUGCUCCACGAGCGGCUCCCAAGCCGCCAUUUUGGGGAAAAUGAGGUUGUGGUUGCGGUCCGCCAGCUCUGGCAUUUACCCUUUGCCUUGCUUGUAUAUGCUUCCAAGUAGGUGGGUUAGGCAUACGGGUGUUCCCUUUCCGGGUUCUCCGCCUGGCAAGGUGGCCACAAGCUUUGAGUUUUGCGGGGCUUGGCUUGUCCCUUGCUGGCCUCGCACCUUUUUGUAUAUAUUAAUUACCGUAUAUACUCGAGUAGAAGAUGAGUUUUUCGGCACAUUUUUUGUGAUGAAAAACCCCCACUCGUCUUAUACUUGAGUCACUGUCUGUGUUACGGCAACUUACAUUGCCAUAAUACAGACCAGGACCGCCGGGCUCAUUAGAAGCCCGGCAGUCCUGUUGGGGUCUGGCAGCGAACGUUUACCUUUCCUGCAGCUCCUGUCAGCUCUCUUCUCCUCUGUUCUGGUCAGCUCCACUGUAAGUCUCACAAGAGCUGCGGUGUCAGAGCGUUGCCACGGGUUACCGUGGCAACGCUCCGCGCGGCACUCAGACCGCAAGAGUUACAGUGGAGCUGAACGAAGCGGAGGAGAAGGGAGCUGACAGGAGCUGCAGGAAAGGUAAGGAACAGCUCGCUGCCAGCCCCCCUCCUGCACAGUACACCCUACUGGACCACCAGGGAUUACUAUAGCCCCUCUCCCUGGCCAUGUAUCAAGCAGGGAGGGGGGACGAAAAAAUAAAAUACAAAUUUAAAAAUUUAGUAAUAUUAAAAUAAUAAAAAUGCCCACCCCCCACCAAGUUCACACACUCUGCAUUCAUACAUACACAUACACACACACACACACACACACUCUGCAUUCAUUAUAUAUACACACACUGUAAAUAAAUAUUAAAUUCAUAUAAUUUUUUGGGAGAUCUAAUUUUAUUUAGAAAUUUUACCAGUAGCUGCUGCAUUUUCCCACCCUAGUCUUAUACUCAAGUCAAUACGUUUUCCCAUUUUUGGGGGGUAAAAUUAGGGGUCUCGACUUAUAUUCGGGUUGACUUAUACUCGAGUAUAUACGGUAUAUGCCUCUGUACACACACUAUACCCCAUGCACACUGUAUCCCAUAUACACAAACCGUACAGUCCCUUAUGCACACACAAUGCAACCCCUAUUUAAUUUUUUUUACUAUGGUUGUCAGUGGAGACCUCAUGUUCGAGUGUCACCUAAGGCCUCACAAAGUCUAGAGCCGCCACUGCUAAAAAGAUUCAAAAUUUCGAUUAUAACUAGUCUCAAUCCUCAGGUCUUGUCAGCAAUACAACUCUAACAUAAAUGUUUACAAAUACACGCGUAAAUUCUUUAUUGAGGCUGCUGGGAUUCUUGAAUGGGAAGGCAGAACUCCUUAAUGAAUUCUUGUUGCUAAGAUAACAGAGAGCUGAGGUAUUUUGUCAUUGUCUCUGUAUAUUUAGGAGGUGCUCCAUUUUCUUCUCUACCAGUCUAUUCAGAAAUCACUACAGAACUCAGUACUUCAGGACAUCAAUCUGUUUAUGUUCUAUACUUUGUAUUUGUGCACAUAGUAUACCUAAAGUGCUGGGACUUUUGCACUACCAGAUAACCUAACUAAAAGUUGGGUAUGGUUUGCACUUUAAAAAACAAAACAAACCAUAAAAUAAAUAAAGUUUUUUAAAUUUUUUUUUCAUAUAAAUAAUUUUUAUCUAACUUUAUCUGGCAGAGGCAUAAUAUACAAUGCACAUGUAACACUAUGGAAGGAAUACAUUUCUCUUGUGCAUGAGUGUGUGGAAAUAUGCUGUUUUUAUGGGAAUUAAAGUGCUGCAUAAGCAGGGUUUUUUUUUAAUUUUAUUUUAUUUUUUUAAAUAUGCUAUGCUUCAUUUACUGGGAUGAGGAAAUAAGAAGCUGUCACACCCAGAGACAACUCUGCUUUAAAACAAAAGCAUAUUUUGCCCUUCAAAGGUUAGCAGUGUGGGGCCGGCCCACCAUGCCUGACGUAUCGCAUGUGGGAGAGGCUCCUGCAGGGUCCAACAUUUUAAUGCUGAAUCCAGCAGCAUACAAGCUACACCUGAGCCCGCACAUAUGGAAAACUCUGCAGGUGGCUGCUGGUAUGGUGGUAGGCUUUGAGAUAGGGAGUUUUGCAACCCCCGGGGGUGAUACUAAGCUUCGGGGCCUGUGGCCUACUCAGGGGAGAGGAGCGGGGUGGACGGGGAAGAAUCUGUUGAAUGUACCUGACAUUUGGAUUCCCACGCUCCGUGCUCAAAAUGGCUGCCAACCCUGCUUCUCUGAUGCGGUCCAUGCAGUUUUGCCUGCAGACUGUAGCGACCGGUAAGUCAUUGGAUAGAAUCGAGCGUGGAUCAGAUCAGUGUUCGGAUCCUGGGCUGCUUGGAGCUGAAGCUGUGGCAGCCUGGUGUCAGGCUGUGGCCCAGCAUACCAGGAACUCCCUCUAUAACGCAUCUUGGAAGGAUGGUGGCAGCCUUCAGGAGUUCCGGUGACCACCCUGUGCUAUGUUCAAACCGACGNNNNNNNNNNNNNNNNNNNNNNNNNNNNNNNNNNNNNNNNNNNNNNNNNNNNNNNNNNNNNNNNNNNNNNNNNNNNNNNNNNNNNNNNNNNNNNNNNNNNUAUCCUCUGAUGUGAAUCUUCAACACUCGUCUUCCUGCAUUGGUUCUCCCUGAUCUAGAGCCUUAUAUUUAUAAAUUGCCAUUAUCUGUGCAGCAGCCUUCCUCUCUGCUAUAUUUUCUAUCAGGCUUUGCACAGACCUAACUACUAAGGGUACAAGACACGGCAGGAGUAGACACAACAUUAAAAUCAGUAGGACUCCACCUACCACUGCCUUAAGCCCUCCAAACCACUCAUACCAGCUACCAAACCAACUGCUUGGAUUGUACCCUUUCCAUACCUGAGUAGGCACAUGCGCUAGUUUAACCAUAUGGCUAGUAAGCUCAGCUAUUGCUUGCCCUUCGUCAUCUAUUUGAAGACAGCAAUUGCUCAGGUUAAACUUCCCACAUACACCUCCCUCUACUGCCAAAAGAUAAUCCAAGGCUAAUCUAUUUUGGUAAACUGCUGUCCUCAUCCUGGUAUUAUGCUUCGCUAGAAGAUUGAGCGCUUGUGAUGUCUCGUUAGUAAUGAUCUCAACCACCGCCUGUAACCUUAUAAUGCGGUUGAGCAUAUAAAUAGGGGUUCUAUAACCAAAGGUACCAUCCUCUGCCCACGUGGCUGGCCCAUAAUAAUCUAUAAUACGCUGGGGAGGCCAUUCAUUAUCUUCCCAGGCACCUAUCUCUAUGGGUCCCCUUUUCUUCCUAUGAUUCACAUCAUACACUUUAACACCUAAAGUCUCACCUGUUUCAAUAGGCAACAAGAAGAAGGAUGGUUUUAACAUACCCAACACACAUGCCCCUUCCCAGUCCUGUGGUAACUCCGAAUAGGCCUUCUUACCACAGAUCCAGUACAAAUUCGCUGGGGCUCUCCAGUUAGAUGUGAUGGAUAGAUCAAACCAUACGUUCUUUAAAUUGGCAUAUCUUGCAAACGGGUUAGAUGGUUCUGAGACAUUUGAAGCCGACCACCAAGUUGUAUUCUUUGUAUCAUCAUCAUAAGCUUUUUGCCCUAGACAAGUUAAUUCUCCUACAGAAGUAUUAUACAUCAUUCCUUUCCUCGCUAUGCAAACAUAACCUAUGAUGGAGGUCUUCAAUCUCCACUCAGAUUUACCUCUAACACUCAUAUGAUAGUCGGCUUGUGUAGAUAUUAAUUGGUCAACUGCCUCAGAACCGGACAUUACCUCCUUUGCUUCCCAAGGCCAUUGGUCUCCCAUGUUAGUACCUCCACACACAUAGCAGUUGGUAACAUUAAGACUACCGGCAAUACUCUCGGCUAAAUCAAUGAACAAGUUUUUAGCAUUAUGGGGGAUCUUAUUAUCUAUGCUCAUCUCUUCAUAAAAGGAAUGGUAUACUUGAUGAGUUUGGGAGGUUACCGUAUCAGUCUCUAUCCCUAUAAACAAUAUUGUCCCAGGGUCUAAACCCGUCCCAUAUAUUUGAAACCCAAAUAAAUUACCAUAUUUAUCUAAGAACUUGUCAGGGUUAUUUAUAAGUAUAUGGAUUGGAUUGCAUUCCAUAGACUUACAAUAUGGAUUAGUAGGCAACUUAGUCACAAUCAUGUCCUUGUCUGCUGUCUGUCCCCAAGUCGCCCACCCCACACAAGACCAAUAUGGGCAGAAGUUAUAAUCUCUAUUUGGGCAUCUUGGACUUACAUAUUUAUUUUUACUACUGGGACAAAUAUAUUUAUCGUUAGACCCAUACGUCCUCUCCCAUCUAAGAUCCCCACAUACAUUCCACGGCUUUCUACCACUUGAUAUUGCUUUACACGCAUCAAAUAGCAGAGCACCUGAAGAAUAUACGGAUUUUAAUACCGUCUUAUUAAUUAGGGUCCCCUGAGGAUCUCCAUUUCUGAGAGUCAACCAAAUUGUACGGGGUUGAUACUCAGGACUGAAGCACUUAGGUUCUCCUACUCCUAAAUGACACACACUAUAUUCUAUAUUUAAGUAUCUACAUCUUGAUACAUCUCCUUUACACUCAUAUUGCGAAUGCCAAAUUAGGGUCUGGGAUAUAUGGUUACCUGUUCUUGUAGUCUUAAUGCAUACCUCACAGCUAGGAGUGUCGGUACCUCUACCUUCCUGAAUAUAAAAAUACACAUAAAUAAACAUUAUUAAAAAUACAUCUUUCGUCGUCAUCCUCAGUCUUCGUCCGUGCGAAGGCACCUCAGCUUCCAGGAUGUAAGGGCUGCAGGGAAUGGAGUUCUGCUCGUCUUCACAGGGGUCCCCUCAAGACUUUCCCUGACUUAUACACUCGUUGGUGAGUGGACAGGCUUUAUUAUGGCCUUCUCACUCACUUACCAAGUCUCUGAAACAAUAAAAUUUGUAAUCUACAAGGUUCCUCGUCACUCCGACUGAGUCGUGCGUUUUAACCGGAUCUUGCAGGGAUUCUCUGGAUUUGCUGUAACUUGCCAGGAAUCGGCUGCUGCUGGUUUAACCCUGGAGUGAUGUAUCCACGGAGCCACUUCGGCUACUUUUUAUCGCUGUAGGGGUAGACAGAAGAACAACAUAAGGACCUCUCCACUUGGGCCCUAACGGCACAUUAUUCCACUCUUUAAUCCACACUUGGUCGCCUGGGUGGUAACUAUGAAUUGGGGGAUAAAUAUUCACAGGUAAUCUAUCUUGUACCCAUUUCUGUACCUCCUCCAUAGUCUUACCCAACUCAACAACCUGCUGCCGGGUAAUUCCUUCUCCCAACUGAUCGCCCGUACAUGAUUUCAAAAGGAGAGAGGCCCAUCCUUCUGGUAGGUGUACUACGGAUUCGCAAUAGAGCUAUGGGCAAGAGAACGUUCCACUUAAGUUGGGUUUCCUGACACAUUUUAGCCAACUGAUUCUUAAUAGUUCUAUUCAUUCUCUCUACCUUACCAGAACUCUGGGGUCUAUAUGCCGUAUGAAGCCUCCACUUUAUACCAAGCAUAUGAGUCAAUUGUUGUAGGCACUGAUGAACAAAAGCUGGACCAUUGUCCGAUCCUAUAGAGCAGGGUAGUCCAUAUCGGGGUAUUAUUUCUCGUAGCAGGAAUCUCACGACUUCUCCUGCUUUCUCUGUACGAGUAGGACAUGCUUCUACCCAGCCUGAAUAGGUGCACACCACUACCAGCAGGUAGCGAUGUCCACCCGAUUUAGGCAUCACUGUAUAGUCAAUUUGUAAAUCGGACAUGGGAAGUCCCCCCAUAAACUGGACUCCUGGUGGCUUUACUGGUCCUUGUCUUGCAUUAUUUUUAGCACACGUUACACAUCUACGUACAAUGGCCUGAGUCAAGUUGGACAAUCUUGGUAUGUAGAAAUGUUUUCUGAGAGAUUCUUCUGUACUGUCUCUCCCAGAAUGUGUCCCGUUAUGAUAGUUUUGGACAAUUUCUACCGCUAGUGAUGCUGGAAUAACUAUUCUUCCAUCUUCUAACUGAUACCAUUUGUUCUCCAAAUACUUUCCAGGUUCAGUCCUUAACCACUCCUCUUCUUGAGCUGUAUAAAUUGGAGUCCAUUGAGACAGUGGAGUUGGUAUAAGAGCAGCUAUAUGCCCCACAUAUUCCUGUCUUCCUGAUUCAGCAGCACGCUUAGCUGCACUAUCUGCCAUCCGAUUCCCUUUGGUUACAUCACCAUCUCCUCUCAGAUGCGCCCGACAAUGUAUAAUACCGACUUCUUUCGGCUCCCACACUGCUUCCAAUAGUUGUAGGAUCUCAGCUGCGUAUUUGAUUUCUUUGCCUUCUGAAUUCAAUAGUCCUCUUUCUUUAUACAAAGCUCCGUGGGCAUGAGUGGUUAAAAACGCAUACUUGGAGUCCGUGUAGAUGUUCACUCUUAAACCUUCAGCCAAUUGUAACGCUCGUGUCAGUGCUAUCAAUUCUGCCUUUUGUGCUGAUGUUCCUUUUGCCAGUGGCCGAGCUUCUAUCACCUUGUCUAUCGUUGUUACUGCAUAUCCUGCAUAGCGGAUCCCUUCUUUUACAUAACUACUGCCGUCGGUGUAAUAUUGAACAUCAGGGUUCUGGAUGGGAAAAUCACGAAGAUCUGGUCUACUUGAAAAUACUUCAUCCAUUACUUCCAAACAAUCAUGUUGACUUUCAGUAGGUUGUGGCAAAAGGGUAGCUGGAUUUAAGGUAUUUACAGUCUCUAAAUGCACUCUUGGGUUUUCACACAACAUUGCUUGAUACUUGGUCAUACGGCUGUUACUAAACCAAUGAUUUCCUUUGUAAUCCAACAACGUCUGUACUGCAUGUGGAACUCGUACAUAAAGUUCUUGACCCAGAGUGAGUUUAUCGGCUUCAGCUACUAGCAGGGCGGCUGCAGCUACAGCUCUUAGACAAGGUGGAAGUCCGCUGGCCACUGCAUCCAGUUGCUUAGACAUGUAGGCAACAGGUCUUUGCCAUGAUCCCAAGUACUGUGUCAAUACUCCCACAGCCAUUCUUCUUUGCUCAUGUACAUACAGGUAGAAUGGCCGUGUGUGGUCAGGUAGACCUAAUGCUGGGGCACUCAUCAAAGCCCUCUUCACAUCUUCGAAUGCCGUUUGCUGUUCUUGAGUCCAUAAGAAGGGGUCGUGCUCUGUACCUUUGAUAGCUGCAUACAGAGGUUUUGCCAGUAUCGCGUAGCUGGGAAUCCAUAUCCUACAGAAGCCUGCUGCCCCCAAGAAUUCUCGCACUUGUCUUCUAUUCCUGGGUAUCGGUAUUUGGCACACAGCUUCUUUUCUCUCUGGCCCCAUAAUUCUUUGACCUUCAGAGAUAUGGAAUCCCAGAUAUUUGACAGUUGGCAAACACAACUGAGCCUUCCUUCUUGACACCUUGUAUCCUGCCUUCCAGAGAAUGUGUAGUAGAUCGUGCGUUGCUUGCUGACAUACUUCCUUUGUAACUGCUGCUAUCAACAAGUCAUCUACAUAUUGUAAUAAUACACACUCUCCUGGGAUAGACUCGAAAUCUAGUAGAUCUUGACUUAGAGCUGAACCAAAUAGGGUAGGUGAAUUUUUAAACCCCUGGGGCAAUCUUGUCCAGGUCAUUUGGCGUUUCGAGCCCGUUACAGCAUUUUCCCAUUGGAAAGCGAAGAUACAUUGGCUUUCUGCGGCAAUUCGGAGGCAAAAGAAGGCAUCUUUGAGAUCUAAGACUGUAAAGUAAGUAGCCCCGCCCGGAAUUAAAGCAAGCAGGUUAUAUGGAUUGGGCACGACUGGAUGUAUACUAACAACCGCAUCAUUGACUGCUCUCAAGUCCUGCACAGGUCGAUACUCAUCUGUACCGGGCUUUUGAACAGGCAGCAAUGGGGUGUUCCAGGGGGAAGUACAGAAUUUUAGGAUACCAUACCGUAUGAACUUAUCCAGAUAAGAUUGGAUGUUCUUCUUAGCCUUCUGCGGAAUAUGAUAUUGUCUCAGGCUUACUGGAUAAACCCCAAGUUUUAGUUCGAUUUUAAUAGGUGGAAUAUUGCGGGCCAGUCCUGGUGGGUUGUUCUCUGCCCAAACUCCUGGUAUGUUAAAUAAGGAUUCAUCACUCCUCGGGUUUUGGCUAGUCAACACUGUAUAAAGUCGCCACUCUUCUUCCUUUGGUACGGACAAUGUCAUAAUACCUGAGGGUCCAUUAAACUUUAAGGAUGUUGUUCCAUUUGGUAGGAACGUAAUCUGCGCUUGUAAUUUGGAUAGCAUAUCACGUCCCAGCAAUUGGACUGGACACUCAGGCAUAUAAAGGAAUUGAUGUUUUACUACGUGGCCUCCCAAUGUACAGAGUCGACUUUUAAGAACCGGUUUUUCAGCACUUCUUCCAGUUGCUCCUAUUACAGUAAUAGUUCUUCCAGAUGGAGGAGCAACUUGAUUAGUCACCACCGAAUGUUCAGCACCAGUGUCGAUCAUAAACGCACUCCUUUUUCCCCUAUUGAUACAUCGACCAUAGGCUCCGCUCGACCAAGGGGGAUGGAGCCCGGUCGGUAUCAAUAGUCCUCCAUGACCGUGUCAGCCAAUCCCACAAAGUCCCUACCUUCUCUAUCGCGGGACCUUUGCGCUGCUGGAUAGUACCUAUCUUCCCUUACACUUCCUCUGUUCCCAUUACUCCCUCUAUUACCAUUACUCCCUCCGGGGCCUCCUCUACCUCUCGCUCUGCCUCUAAAGUUUCCGUAACCUGCCCUGGGUAAGUCUCUCUCAUACUGCUCUCUUUGCGGACACUCGUUCCUCCAAUGCCCUUCUUCCUUACAGUACGCGCACUGAUUCCUACUCAAAGGCUCCCUAUUCCAUCUACCAUCGCCUCUAUCUGGGCCCCGUCUAUCUACGCCUGCGAUCGCUACCGCUAGCAUAUCUGCCUUUCUACGCAUCUUGCGCUCUUCCUCUUUCUUACUUUCUGUUUCCCUAUUCAUAUAUACUUUGUUCGCUACCUCCAUUAGUUGGGUGAUAGACAUACCUGCAAACCCUUCUAAUUUCUGUAGCUUGCGCUUAAUAUCUCCGUAAGCUUGGCUGACAAAGGCGGAGUUUACCAUUCGGGAAUUAUCAGCGUCUUCCGGAUUAAAGGGGGUAUACAAGCGGUAUGCCUCCAAUAAUCGGUCAUAAAAGACACUGGGCGCUUCAUCACUUUUCUGAAUCACCUCAACUAUCUUCGACAUGUUAAUAGCUUUCUUCCCUCCGGCUUUCAUGCCAGCAAUUAUAGCAUCUCUAUAGGCUUUAAGUUGAGCCAUAUCUGCGCCAUUUACAUUCCAGUCAGGAUCGGUGUUAGGGUAAUGUGUUGCGGCCCAUGCUGCCGGAUUGGCUUGAUUUAAAGCACGGGCUCUCUCCUCUAGCGCCUUAAUGGCCGCUUGGUUAAUCCUUGUCCUUUCCUCAUUAUUGAACAAUGUCAUUAAUAACUGCUGGCAAUCAGCCCAUGUCGGGUUAUGUGUCUGAACUAUCGAGGUGAACAGAUCGGUCAUAGCUUGUGGUUUCUCAGUGUACGAGGAAUUGUGGGUCUUCCAAUUCAAGAGAUCGGUAGUCGUGAACGGGACAUAUACGAAGACUGGGUCAGCAUGUGCCAUUUGACCUGCGGCAUCGAUAUAGGCUGACCCAGGAUUCAGGCGAAGAGGCAUCUGAUAAUGUUUUAAUUGUUGGGUACCGGUCAGUUGUCGGGUUAGUAUGGGGCUACGUGGAGGGGCGUCAGUUAAAGGUUCCGGUCGAGAGGUAAUAGGGCAUGAGGAUGUGGGAACUUGAUUUUGGGAAAAGUUAGUGAAUAGUAUACUCCGAGCCGAGCUAGAAGAAGCUUGACCGGAAGUUUGAAGUGGCGCCAAAUCAGGAUAUUCAGAUCUAAUGGGGGUUGGUCCUGGUUCCGGAAGGGGAGUUUUAAUACGAGGGGGGGUGGAUUCUGUACUGGAGGAGGAAGCGGAAGUGGAUGGGGGCAAUAGGGGAAGGGGUGCAGAGCUUCCUGCAUUCGCGUCACUUCCUCUUAAAGGAAAGUAAGGAGGCGGCAAAGGGAUCUCGGACUCAGGGGGCGUGUCCAAAAUGGGCCUAACACCAGUCCUAGUGGACAAACAAGUCCUGGCCACCAUGAGGCGACAUUGCUCCUCGUGGCAUAUCCGGAUCCAUUUUGGCGAGUCGUUUACGGCCUGCCCCCAACAAUCAAUGUAUGGAAACUGUCCGUAAAGUUCAGGCCUACCUGAUACAGCCACGUGUACACGCUGUACCAGGGUUGGAUCCAAACUGCCACGCGGCGGCCAUGCCGCAACCAAAAUAGGCCACUCCCUAGUGCACAAAGUGACCAAACGUACAGGAGACAUUUUAACCCCAAAAUCACAUGUUUUGAAUCCCUUUUUAAAAUUCUUUACCAUACAACCUAAGGGAUCCGAAAUCGUUGACUCUGACGCGCCCAUACUUAUCAAUGGAACGUCGUUGACAACGAAUACUAUGCACGCGUUCUUAUUCAACAGUCACACCCGUUUCCUCUGGCAACAGCACCACGUGGUACAGUUACCGAGUGAAACGUACACAAUAACACAAUAAUCACUCAGGGAAUUCCCGUACACACACAGCUGUUACACCAGUCACUAAAUAAUCAAUAUUAUGCCCUUUGGCGAAACUAUACAGUCACCCACGCUAUAAUUCUCUAUAUAUGAAUUACCCGUCUAUAACACACCCCAGUAACAUCGUCUUUUACUAGUAUCGGUUACAGUACGGUUAGCAUAGGUCAAAGCACAAUUUAAGGUCACAAUACAAUUAUUAGUGGUUACGGUGUUAAACAUGCAAUAGACGACAAUGAUUAGUACUUAUAUACAGUGUCAGUAAAUAUACAGGGUUAUGGUACCGUGCACUAUGAUACAGCAACACACUAUUAACACUCUCGCUAGACGGCUGAGCUCGCGCUAUCUAACAAGAUAUACACUUUACUAACAAUCUUUAACACAUUUACAAUCCCAACUAAACUAUUGGCCAGUACCUUGAAUGGACUACCUAAAACUAUAUACACCCGUUUUGGUUAGCCACACUGCCCAAGCACCACAUAUAGCGAACUAGAGGGCGAAAUUUACAAAAUUGCCCUUCUAGUCUAUUUACUCUAUCAAAAGUCUAGUGGGUUCCAAAUUUACACGCCUUCCCACUUAGCCAAGAUAGGUUGAGAGCUAGCGAACCGAAUUUACACAGGCGCCGCUUAGUCUCCCGGUCCCUCCGACCUAGCGAACGUAAUAUACACCCUAGAACGCUAGUCUAGACAAGACACCGGUGUCCGGCUAGGGCUAUUUACACAGGACCCCGCCUGACUAACCAGAUCAAACGGUCUUACUAAAGAGCGUUCGAUCGAGCGGUGCGCCUUCGCUCCUUCCCUCCGACAGAGGGGGCAGAUUCCAUACACAGAUUUAAACCCCUUUUGGGCCUACCGCACAAUCGGUAUACCCCUAGUGGGUCUGCCGUCUAAAACAGCAGUUGUCUUACCUCCUCGUUCCUGAACCUGAGUUCACACUCAUCGACGGGGACACCCCAGCACUUCUUACGUAGAGGCCGAUGAUCUCCUGGACAACAGACCAGUGGCGCCGAGACGAAGGGAGGUCCACGCAGAAGUUCAGGGGUGCAGCCGUAGAGAACGUGGGCAAAGAUAGACCGUCUCACGCCUCUGCCUCUCAGCUACCGUUGAACGAUGAGAUUCCCGGCCAAUGCACCAAAUGAUACCGGAGAAACUGAUGGAAGCAAAGCACAGAGGGAUGGACACAGGUUUCUUCAGGAAGGAAGAGAUUCUUUAUUGGAUCACCGAUCGGGACUCAGAGGGACUAAUGUCACCAAAAAUACAGCAAGUUCUGAGCCCUGAACAAUAGUGCAGGCUCCCUAUAUAGGCACAUAACUCCUCCCAUAUUAAGCUCCACCCGCACAUUCUCUUGACCAAUCAUUACAAAUAAGAAUUAACUUCCUGCUUGACCGCAUGGCUUGUCCAGCACAAUGGAGGAGGGGAAUACUACAUCCUGUAUUCUUGCACAUGCUCCGUACACUACUGAUCGUAUCUUGCCUCGUGCAACCAACUGAUCGAUACGUCAGCAUAUGCACGUACACAUGCCACGUGGUAAUCUCGGUCUACUAAAUUUAUUUUUACCGAGAUUCCACCACAGUAUGUACGGCUAAGUGCAAUUAUUAGUGAGAUUCCUAGUUUUAAACUAUGCUAGCAUAUAGGUUAUAAUAUGGGGACGUGCUGAUCUAUAUGGUAUGACUACUUAAGGUAUUAUAAAAAUUAAGUACAUCCCUUUAGGCGCAUGUCCGGGCUGCCAGCCAGUUAAGUAGAAGUGAACACUUUCAGAUUAUAAUUAUGCUAGUAUACAUCUGGGUUGAGGGGAACAAGAAAAUAACAUGGGGUAUAAAGACAAAUCUAGCUAAAAUUUAAUAUAUAAAACGCUAUGCUAGUCAUUUCACUCUAAACGUAGAAUAGGCUGGUUUAAAGGAAUGUUCUUUAGCCUAUGCCGGACACCUGGUGAGUAUGGCAGCACAGUUCCAAGUCCCUCCAUGCAGCACUCCAUCUGCUCUGCUUUAAGACAGGCUUGUGUAGAUGGUCUCCGUGCUCUGUCAUUGUUCUGCCUGGGUCAGUCCAGACCUGCUCCACGAGCGGCUCCCAAGCCGCCAUUUUGGGGAAAAUGAGGUUGUGGUUGCGGUCCGCCAGCUCUGGCAUUCACCCUUUGCCUUGCUUGUAUAUGCUUCCAAGUAGGUGGGUUAGGCAUACGGGUGUUCCCUUUCCGGGUUCUCCGCCUGGGAAGGUGGCCACAAGCUUUGAGUUUUGCGGGGCUUGGCUUGUCCCUUGCUGGCCUCGCACCUUUUUGUAUAUAUUAAUUACCGUAUAUACUCGAGUAGAAGACGAGUUUUUCGGCAAAUUUUUUGUGCUGAAAAAACCCACUCGUCUUAUACUUGAGUCACUGUCUGUGUUAUGGCAACUUACAUUGCCAUAAUACAGACCAGGACCGCCGGGCUCAUUAGAAGCCCGGCAGUCCUGUUGGGGUCUGGCAGCGAACUGUUACCUUUCCUGCAGCUCCUGUCAGCUCUCUUCUCCUCCGUUCCGGUCAGCUCCACUGUAAGUCUCACAAGAGCUGCGGUGUCAGAGCUCCGCGCGGCACUCAGACCGCAAGAUUUACAGUGGAGCUGAACGAAGCGGAGGAGAAGGGAGCUGACAGGAGCUGCAGGAAAGGUAAGGAACAGCUUGCUGCCAGCCCCCCUCCUGCACAGUACACCCCACUGGACCACCAGGGAUUACUAUAGCCCCUCUCCCUGGCCAUGUAUCAAGCAGGGAGGGGGGCCGAAAAAAUAAAAUACAAAUUUAAAAAUGUAGUAAUAAUAAAAUUUAAUAUUAAAAUAAUAAAUAAUAAAAAUUCCCACCCCCCCACCAAGUUCACACACUCUGCAUCACACACACACUGCAUUCAUACAUACACACACACACACACACACACACACACACACUCUGCAUUCAUUAUAUACACACACACUCUGCAUUCAUUAUAUACACACACUGUAAAUAAAUAUUCAAUUCAUAUAAUUUUUUGGGAGAUCUAAUUUUAUUUAGAAAUUUACCAGUAGCUGCUGCAUUUUCCCACCCUAGUCUUAUACUCGAGUGAAUACGUUUUCCCAUUUUUUGGGGGUAAAAUUAGGGGUCUCGACUAAUAUUCGGGUUGACUUAUACUCGAGUAUAUACGGUAUAUGCCUCUGUACACACACUGUAUCCCAUAUACACAAACCGUAGAGUCCCUUAUACACACACAAUGCAAUCCCUAUUUAAUUUUUUUUACUAUGGUUGUCAGUGGAGACCUCAUGUUUGAGUGUCACCUAAGGCCUCACAAAGUCUAGAGCCGCCACUGCUAAAAAGAUUGAAAAUUUCGAUUAUAACUAGUCUGAAUCCUCAAGUCUUGUCAGCAAUAUAACUCUAACAUAAAUGUUUACAAAUACACGCGUAAAUUCUUUAUUGAGGCUGCUGGGAUUCUUGAAUGGGAAGGCAGAACUCCUUAAUGAAUUCUUGUUGCUAAGAUAACAGAGAGCUGAGGUAUUUUGUCAUUGUCUCUGCAUAUUUAGGAGGUGCUCCAUUUUCUCACUACCAGUCUAUUCAGAAAUCACUACAGAACUCAGUACUUCAGGACAUCAAUCUGUUUAUGUUCUAUACUUUGUAUUUGUGCACAUAGUAUACCUAAAGUGCUGUGACUUUUGCACUACCAGAUAACCUAACUAAAAGUUGGGUAUGGUUUGCACUUUAAAAAACAAAACAAACCAUAAAAUAAAUAAACAGUUUUUUAUUUUUUAAAUAUACAUAAUUUUUAUCUAACUUUUUCUGGCAGAGGCAUAAUAUACAAUGCACAUGUAACACUAUGGAAGGAAUACAUUUCUCUUGUGCAUGAGUGUGUGGAAAUAUGCUGUUUUUAUGGGAAUUAAAGUGCUGCAUAAGCGGGGUGUUUUAUUUUUAAAAAUGUUUUUUUUUUAAAUAUGCUAUGCUUCAUUUACUGGGAUGAGGAAAUAAGAAGCUGUCACACCCAGAGACAACUCUGCUUUAAAACAAAAGCAUAUUUUGCCCUUCAAAGGUUAGCAGUGUGGGGCCGGCCCACCAUGCCUGACGCGUCGCAUGUGGGAGAGGCUCCUGCAGGGUCCGACAUUUUAAUGCUGAAUCCAGCAGCAUACAAGCUACACCUGAGCCCGCACAUAUGGAAAACUCUGCAGGUGGCUGCUGGUAUGGUGGUAGGCUUUGAGAUAGGGAGUUUUGCAACCCCCGGGGGUGAUACUAAGCUUCGGGGCCUGUGGCCUACUCAGGGGAGAGGAGCGGGGUGGACGGGGAAGAAUCUGUUGAAUGUACCUGACAUUUGGAUUCCCACGCUCCGUGCUCAAAAUGGCUGCCAACCCUGCUUCUCUGAUGCGGUCCAUGCAGUUUUGCCUGCAGACUGUAGCGACCGGUAAGUCAUUGGAUAGAAUCGGGCGUGGAUCAGAUCAGUGUUCGGAUCCUGGGCUGCUUGGAGCUGAAGCUGUGGCAACCUGGUGUCAGGCUGUGGCCCAGCAUACCAGGAACUCCCUCUAUAACGCAUCUUGGAAGGAUGGUGGCAGCCUUCAGGAGUUCCGGUGACCACCCUGUUCUAUGUUCAAACCGGCGUUUUCAAGCUACAAGCACCAGUUUAUAUGGACAUAUCUGUAGAGAGCCAGGCAGUCGUCCUUCUUAUUGGGAAAAGGUUGCUUAAAGGACCACUAUAUAUACACAAACUCGUUUUCCUGGCACAAUAGGGUCUUUCGGUCCCCACCCUCAAGGUCCCACUCCCGCUGGGCUGAAGGAGGCUCAAGGGGUUAAAUACUUACUCUCCUCCCUCUGCCGACAUCAGCGACAAAUGCGCAUGCGCGGCAAGAGUCGCACGCGCAUUGACACAGUCCAUAGGAAAGCAUUUCUCAGUGCUUUCCUAUGGACGUCCAGCGUCUUCUCACUGUGAUUUUUCACAGUGAGAAUCGCGGAAACGCCUCUAGCGGCUGUCAGUGAGACAGCCACUAGAGGCGGGAUUAACCCUGGUGUAAACAUAGCCGUUUCUCUGAAAUGGCUAUGUUUACAGCUGCAGGGUUAACACUAGAUGGACCUGGCACCCAUACCACUUCAUUGAGCUGAAGUGGUCUGGGUGCCUAUAGUGGUCCUUUAAUUAAGGUAUUUCUGGUUAAUAUUGGGUGCAAUGUGAUGUCUGAUGUCGCUGCUGAGGCAUGAUAUCUCUAGGAUGGAAUCCUGUAUCUAUUUUGAUAUUCUGGCACUUAAUUGCUCAUCCAGUUUCUCUUCUUUUGGUCUGUUUUCUAAAUUAUUCAACAUAUGCAUAUUUCAUCCUUGCUAGUUACACUCUUGUAUUAUGUUUUUCCUUUUAUUAAAAACAAAAAGGUAGUUUCCCAUAUCUCCUAAAAAUCAUCGUUACAGAUUGAAUAUUUAGCAACCGACUUUACUUUUGUAAGAGCUUAAUGAUUUGCGGAUAAUGCAGCUAUGGAGUCUCUUUGCUCUCUUACACAGUAUAUUCCUCUGCAUGCAUCCUAAUACGUCAGGUUGUACAUGUUCAUGAUGUCCUUUAUGCCCGUGUACUGCCAUGUAUAUUUAUGAAACUACAUGUCAAAUAAAAAAAUAAAAAAAGUUAGCAGUAUCACUUUUGCAGUCCUAGAAGCUAGAGCAAUUUCACAUCUAUGAAAAUAAUCCUAAAACCUAAUGAAUGUUUCUUGCCGGCACCAUGACCACUUUAUCUGAAACAAUGUUGUUACAGUGCCUAGAGGUUCUGGGUGGUGCCUUACCUUACAGGGUUAAACUGUUUUUAAAUGGUUUGACCCAAAAGUGUCACGUACAGUGCCUUUUUUCCGUGUUUCUCUUACUCCACCUCCGUCCCUGGCUUUAAUGCGGAAACCUCAUUCCUGGUGCUGGUUCUGGGAGCCUUAGCUGAUGCACUCAGCUUCUCCGUGGCACCCUUGAAUAUAAUCAGUGGUCAGUGGCACCCUUUUGAAUAAAAUGGAUGACCUUAUAAUCACCGAGUCCGAGACUUCUGUUUUGAAGCCAGGGACUAAAGAUGUGGAUAAGGGGCCGAGCAGAUGAGAGCCGUCUGGAACCAUUAACAAACAGUUUAACUUCUUAAGGUAAGACAGAACCCAGGCCCUCAUGGCACCAUAACAACUUUAUUGAGAUGCAUUAUGGUUCCUAGAACGUUUCUUGAAGAAAUAUUUAAACAUUAUAAUACAGUUUCAAACUUUGUGAAUUCUCAGGAAGACUGAAGUUGAAAUUUAAGACCAAAAUAGCCAAACUGAAAACCUAACUGAUGGCAGUUUCUUUCCAAUGUACCCUUAUUGGCGUAACAUUUGCAAUGAAUACUGAUUUACUUUGAAUUCUUUACAAUUCACCAUUUAGUGAAUAAUGCUGUAUGCGUUUUAAUGGGUUAAACAUACAUAGUUUCCAUUACUCUGUAAUAUCACGGACUCAGUGGAAGGGAAAGGUUAGUUUGAAAAUAUUUCUCAUGUUUUGAUUUAGGCUCCUCUUAUUUUGUCAGAGCAAAUCAGGUGUAAUGAAUCUAUUACCUCUGGUUCCUAACUAUUUAAAGAGAAACUGUCACUUUCACAUAAUUGACAGCUGUUUGUUCCAUCACCCCAAUAAAUACCCUUGCAGUAUUUAAAUAAGCCGAGAUAAUUAAAAACAAAACAAAAAUAAAAGCACCAUAAAACUUUGCGGGUUGGUGAUAUGAAAUGCUGUGCCAGCUUUAUAUCCUUGUCUUACAUAGACUGUGCUUUCCCCUAGAUUUUUAAAAUAUUACCCAUAAUAAUAAUAUUAAUAAUAAAAAAAAAACCUUGUGACUAAAAGAAGUAAACAAUGCUAUAUGCAAGGUUUCAACCAUUCUGCUCUCUGCAACCCAUACCUAGAAAUUUACUCUCAAACAUGACAUGAAGAUUUUAUGGAUGAUUUAACUUAUCUAUUGGCAGUGUGAUGUAAUGGUGUAUUCCAUCUCAGCAUGCUUCAAUCAGACUUGUUCAAGCACAGUGCAGUUUAAAUUAAAGGGCUUCCAAAAGUCCUGAUUUUGGGUUCCUGCCCCUCCAUUUCGCUUUAGUUCCCUGGUGACGCACAACGGGGGAAACCAGAGAACUGCUCCCAAGCGUGCAGCAUAGUGAGAGGGCAUCAUUAGCCAGACGGGCUUGCCCGUUAUUGGUGAUAUCCUCUCAGGUGCCCACUCACCCUGUUCUGGUUUUUUAGGGGGCUACAGUUGUUAGGAAAAAUGGUAUUAAAAUACAAUGAUGUUUCUUCACGUAAUGGAUCUAUUACAUUUUACAGAAAAUGCAGUUUAAGUUGUACAUUGUACAGUGCUAUCCAGAUUAAUGGUGUCCGUGAUAUAAAAUGUAAAUUUUAAAUUAACAUUAUUCUGUAAUCCUAUUUGUCGUUGUUUAAAAUAAACUGAUACUGAAGAGUGCAUGUACCCAUCUCUGCGCCGCCACAGUACUACAUAUAUUAUCCUAGAAUGUAGAGAACACACCCUACUUCCAUACUUUAAUGGAUGCUGUGCUCAGCAUUUUGGGAGCAUACUGAUGUGUGCACAGCCUGCAGCUCUAAAAAGGAAGCCACUUAACCCCUUAAGGACACAACUUCUGAAAUAAAAGGGAAUCAUGAUGGAAUAUUUCCGUCAUGUGUCCUUAAGGGGUUAAGGCAAGUAAAUGUUUAGUUAAAGGGAACUCUUUAUUAUCUACGACUCCAAACUUUUUUUUAGCUUUCAUGAACUCUGCACAUUGCAUGAGAAGGUCAGCUGAUGCUCUCAUGCAAUUAACUAAGAAAAGGGAUAGGAAACUUUCAGCACUCCUGGUGUUGUGGACUACAUCUCCCAUAAUGCUCUUGCAGCCAAAACAUCAGGAGUGAUGUAGUCCACAACAUCUGCAGUGCCAAAAGUUGCCUACCUGUGAGCUAAGCCCUGCACAUGUGUUUUUGUGGUAUGGUAAGAUAAACCAUGCUUUUUCAAAAAUAACUCAAAAUAUUUUAAUCUGCUCUAUCCAAAUUUCUAGAAUCACCCAUUUUGAGGUUUUGAGCCAUCAGAUGCUGUGUGCCCUAAUAGACAGCCCUGCAUUAUAACCUGUCUUUAUGUUCUUUCAUUGGGUAACCACAAAAGGGGGUGAAAUUACACCUGGUCAUUGUUUUCCAACCUCAUUUAUAAUUUUGCGUUGAGCAGUAUAGUGAGUUGAGAGUAUAGGAUUUAUGGGCAGAGCCCUAAAUCAGGAGGAGAGUCAUACUGGUGAUAUGACUCACUGAAGAGCGUUCUGGCUCUCAUUGAACUAUAGCGAAGGAGGGGAAUGGAGUCUAGUGGAAACCAAAUAAGAAAUCCAAGCAUUCUAAAUUAGUUCUUUCAAUGAGUGGUCAAUGCAGUGUUUUAGGGGUCUUGGAGUGUUACUUUAAAUAUUUUUUUUUUUUUUAUAUUUGAUAUAUUCUUUAUGUAAUGCUAUUAUAUUCAGUAACACAGUGGGCGUAUAAACAACAAAUAAUUUACAGGCAAAAUAAGGUUGAGAGCCCUGCUCAAUGAGCUUACAAUAUUAUAAUUCUCUAGUAUGCUAGAAAAAUAAAUAGGCUAAAUUAGACUACCUAACUGAACCUGACAAUAUCAUCUAAUUGUGUCCACUUUAAGGUUAUGUUGUUCUCCAGAUUAUUCAAGGUGUUAUGUCACUCUGGAUGGCUGGAGAAUCUCCUAGUGGAUACGGAAAUCAUUUGACCCGAUAAAUCGAGAUUUAUUAGUUCAAGAAAACAUGUAAAGAAUGACAGUUUUAGAACACAAAAGACAGGACUGUCAUUUCAACCAUAGAAUGAACGCUGUUAAUUCCUGAUCCUUCCAACGUGGAAUUACAUGUUUAAAUCAAACAAAAGAUUCAUGAUUACUGUAAUGAUUGUCUGUGCUGUCCUGCACACUUAUUAUAUUAUAAAUUAAUUAACCUAUUAACCAUAACAAUAUACAUAUGUGGGUACCUGUAUGUAAUAUACAUAUAUGCAUUUGAAUCAUCAUUUUGUGCAUUGAAUACAUUUUUUCCUUGUGCUAUAUCCUAGAAUUCAUUUGGGUGUGGUUCCUGAAAAUAAGGGUGUAAAGUCUCAUAUUAAGCCUUACAAUUUACAUUUGGCUAAGUGGAGAAAUGUACUUGUUCAGACAAAAUAUGAGAUCAUUUUCAAAAAUCCCUGCUAACUUAAAGGAACAUAAAUGAGAAUGUAUACUUCAGUACUGUGUGUUUCUAUUAUUAUUUUAUUGGUAGUAUUAUUAUUUAUGUGUGUAUAUAAUAUAUUAAAUAUGAUGUGGUUAUUCACUAAACUCUUGAUUCAACCGAAUUCCAACCGCAAUGGCAUUUCUUAUAUUUACUAAAGCCAGUCAGCCCGAGCGAGUUUUCUGAAUCCAGAUUAAAAUCCGUGCUUUGGUAUCUGCACAAAGUGAUGCAUCUGGAGGACCAGCAUUAUUUACAUCACCUCAUGUCCUUAGACGGGGAACAUACCGUCCAGGCGCUAUAAAGCAAAGCUCUUAUAUAGCUCUCACAAAUGUGAGUGGUUCUCCUACAGUUAUCAAUUCAAUAUUUUUCACUUUGUUAAAAUUGUACUGCACUUUUAUUGUCUGUUUUUUAUUCUGAGGUCCUCAACUAGCCUUCCUUACUACAACUGUAUGUACGUAUGAUCUUGGGCGCAGUAUACGCUUUAUCCUGUUUUUGCUUUACUAUCACACAAAGUAUAGGAUUUUGGAAGAUUUGUAAAGUAUUGUUCACUUGCUUAAAAUUUUUGUCCAUUGGUUGAACUGCUGAAGGUUUUGUUUUUUUUAAUCCGUGCCUGGACUAGAAGCAUUUGGUCUUGAUUUCAGCCGGCUGGUGGCAUGUGGUACAGCUGAAAUCCAGAUCAAAAUCAGGUCUGUUCCGAUGCCUGAAUUGCACAAUACGGACAUUGUUAAAUAGUGUGAACAUUGUUCGUAUUUUGCAGUCCAGAUAUGCAGCUGGAUGGUUCAUUAUCUACUUUAGUAAAUAACCCCACAUGUGUUUUUGUGGUAUGGUAAGAUAAACCAUGCUUUUUCAAAAAUAACUCAAAAUAUUUUAGUCUGCUCUAUCCAAAUUUCUAGAAUCACCCAUUUUGAGGUUUUGAGCCAUCAGAUGCUGUGUGCCCUAAUAGACAGACCUGCAUUAUAACCUGUCUUUAUGUUCUUUCAUUGGGUAACCACAAAAGGGGGUGAAAUUACACCUGGUCAUUGUUUUCCAACCUCAUUUAUAAUUUUGUGUUGAGCAGUAUAGUGAGUUGAGAGUAUAGGAUUUAUGGGCAGAGCCCUAAAUCAGGAGGAGAGUCAUACUGGUGAUAUACCAUCUAAUGGUUACUUUUAUGCAAGUACUACACUAUACAAUGUUUGUAUGUACAUAUUUUUUUUUUGUGUGAUAUCACAUAUCUCAAUCAACUUAUCCGUGUGCUAAACUAUGAAUCCCUGCUCAAUGGGGGUGUUUUUUAAUAUAUUGUCAACAACAUACUCAUUUAAGGGUCAUACAUCACUUUUUUUUAAAUUUAUUUUUUUUAUAUAAAAACCAUCAAGUCAAACCCUUUUACACUAAUCUACAAACUAAAAUAAAUCAAGAACAUUUUUAAAAGUUUGUAAUCAAUAUUUCUCAUAAAUGUACUUAAACUUUCUCAAAUUGUCUGGCACAUCUCUCAGGUAGAGGAGUUUCUUCAACCUCUUCCUCUUGCUCACCUACUAACCCAUCCUUCUCAGUUUCACAAGAACUAGCACUAGCCGUGCAUGUGCACACUCUGUGUGCAUGCUCGUGACUCUCAUGAAAUGGGAAAGCUAGGAUUGGCUGACAGGUUAGAUUGGCUGCCUUCUCCUAACGCAGACAGAGCUUAUUAUAGGAGGCUAUAUGCCCUGGGGACAUACAGUAAAUACACAAACUUCAAAAGUGAUUGUCAGUUUAUCAUCUUCAAGUUAUUGUUUUACAAAGCAUUCAAAAUGGAGUCAUCUUCAGACAAGCGUGCUUCUCUAUAAAGCUGUUCACUUUUACACAAAUCACUCAAAUAAAAGGUAUGUCUGUAUGUCACAAAUGGGUAGGAAGUGACCCAUGUAAAACGAUGUAAAAGGUAAUUCUUUGAGGAAACUGUGACUUCUCUCAUGUGAAUACAUUAAAGCUGCUCUUUUAUAUAAUCUAUCAUAUCCAAAUCUGAGACCUGAACCAGAAUCCAAUGGCUCAAUAGAAAAGUGUGGAUGAAUAAAAAUGUAGACUUCUGGGUACAGCAUGGCACUCGUUGAGCAGUUCCUUCCGUAUUCUGUACGUUCAGAAUUAUAAGUAUGUAGUUCAGUGCAUAUUGGGUGGGAUUGGGUGGGGUUGGGUGGGGAGGGAGGGAGGGGUAACCCCUAGCCUGAAUAGAAAACAAAGAGAAGGACAAGAUGAUUUCUGUGUAUUUAAAGAUAAACUAGUAGAAAUUACUAGGGAUGCACCGAAAUUUCAGUUGCCGAAAUUUUCGUCCAAAAAUAUGCCUAUCCUAUUUUGGCUGAAAACAGGUUAAAUUUGCUGAAUUUUUAAAAUUUUAUUAUUUUUUAAAAUAUUUUUUAUUUUUACAGUGCAUAGUUUAACAGACAUCCUUGUAUUGACAAUUCAGAUGAUGAUAUAUCACAAUGAAAGAUAGUAAUGAUAACAUGAAAAGUCAAGAAUACUGCACUUGGAACAGGGGGAGGGGAAAGAACAUUAUGGAACAGGGCAGGGGUGGGAAGAACACUAUGGAACAGGGGAGGUUUGGAGAAAAAAACACUAUGGGACAGGGGAGGGGGAAGGGGGGAAGAACACUAGAGAGCUAGAGCCCCUGUUGGCGUUUUUACCUUUAGGCUCAUCAAAGAGGACUUAUCAGAGGUAGUCCCCUCUGAUGAACCGAAAGGUGAAAUGUUGGUCAGGGGCUCACACAGCUCUAGAACUACAAACGUACAUGCCAACUAAGACACCAAACUGACUUUGAGGAUGCUGAAUCUGUGACGACCUGAUUUAAACAUUAAAUCAGUAACCAGGCUAUUUAAGUCUGCAAUUACUACAUUUACGUGGAUCCGUUGGGCGGCUGGGUGUCUAUUAUCAAGAUCAUUGGGACAGCAUUUAUUAAGGGGUGCCCUCGAAGGCACACCAGGGACAUUAUAUUAAGUGUACAACUAUGGACCUUUCCAGCCAGGCAGCACAUGAGAUACAAUAUGACACAUUGUUAAACUAAGAUUGGUAACUGUAUCGCUCUUGUAUAUAUCCCACGGAUUCCAGCCAUAGUCUGAACGCAGUGUUAGAGAGCUUUGAAUGUUUGCAUCAUUAUACAAGUGACCAACUAGUUUAUUAGUGGCUACUUACCUCUAUAUUCGAUUACAUUUUUACACUAUAAUUACCUCAUUUCGAUCGAGUAUGUGUGGUAUACCUAGAUCGUGACCAAAUAGACCUGGGAACUAAUCAAUAAACCCACACCUUAUAUAAAUAUAUUCUUUUUUUUUUUUUAGAUCUUUAUUUUAUUGUGCAUAAAGUAUUACAAGGCAUUGGUGAUGUACGCCACCUAAGUAAAACAAUCAAUAAUCCAAGAUAUGCAGGCGUCAGAGUCUGCGCAUUUUUCUUUUUUCACAAUUGUAACAUAAAUUAUGAUAACUGUAUUUAGUUCUAGAGAAUCUAGUCACUGAACAUAAAACCAUUUUGGUCAGAUGGCAUAGAUUCAACUUACAGUAUUGUAUAUUUGGUAGUGCAUAAUAGAAAUGAAUGGGUGGGGUAGGAAUGGUGUAGGUAGUGGGAUGGUCGUGUGUAGACAGUGUUCAGAUGGCCCUAUCGACCUAGAUAGGUCAACCAUGGUUGCCACGUUAGGGUGUAGACGGUAUAUUUAUUUGAGUAUGAUGCGUCUAGUUCUUCCAUGGUCCGUAUGAAUUCUACCUUCUGUAUCCACUCUCGUACUGAUGGGGCAUUAGUGCUCUUCCAUUUUAAUGGUAUCAACAUGUUUGCUGCUGUCAGCAUGUGGUUGAUGAGCUUGCGCUGGUGACUUGGCAUGUGGGCUGUGUGUAUGAGGAAAAGGAAAGUUUCAGGUGAAUGUGAUAACUGAUGACCUGUAAUAGCUUUUAUUAACCUUCUCAGUCUUUGCCAAUAAGUUUGGAUGGUUGGGCAUAGCCACCAAAUGUGAGCUGUGGUUCCUUUGGGUUGCCCGCACCUCCAACAUAUAUCCGGCACUGUUGGGAUGAUUGCAUGAAUCUUAGCGGGUGAGUAGUGCCAUCUGGAGAUUCUUUUGUACGUACUUUCCCUUACUGCUGUGUUAAUAGACGUGGCAUGGGCGUAUGUGAAUAUUCUAUGCCAUGUUCCCUCGGGAAUGGUGAUACCCAGCUCAGCCUCCCAUGCCGCCGUGAAUGUGGGUGGUUGAGUGUGGCUUGUGGUGCUAAGGAGUUUAUAGAAUAUAGAUAGUUGCUUGGUCUGGAGGCUAUGGGUGGUGCAGUAGGUUUCAUAUUUGGUGUGCGCUCUUGUUCCCCAGAGAAGCUGCAAGUCCCCCUUCAGGAAGUGGGCUAAUUGAGCAUAUUGGAAAUGUUGUUUGGCAAUGGGGUGGUCUGUGGAGGCCAAGAUAGACAAUGGAGCUACUCCUGCUGGUGUUACAGCCGUGCUAACCAUCGGGUAUCUUGUCUUUUGGGUUGGUGGGAAUUGAAGGAAAAACUGGGAGCGUGUGCCUGGUAAAAACUUUGGGUUGUGUGCUAGAGGGUAGAAGGGUGAGGGGUGCGGUGAGAUGUCUUUCUGGGAUCUAAUGCAUGACCAUUGACGUAAUGUGGGCAUAAUCGUUGGGUGAUGUGAGUGUUGGGGCAGAAGGUGUGUACGUCCCUCGUCAUGCCAUGGGACUGUGUAUAGUGGGGAUUGAAACAUUGAGCCUUCUAUAUGUACCCAUUGCUUAAGUGGGUGUACUGCGGUCAACUCGUAUAUUCUAGUUAGUAUGACUGCGUGGUAGUAACGUUCCAUGUGAGGUAGGCCCAGCCCUCCCUGUCCUCUAUGUCUAGUCAGAACUGAGUAGGCUAUUCUCAGGCUCUUAUUCGCCCAGAUGAAAGUCGUGAAAAUUUGUUUGAGUUUGGCGAAGAAGGAAGGAAGAAUUGUAAUGGGGAGUGUUUGUAGGAGGUAUAACACUUUAGGUAAUGUAUUCAUCUUCAGUAUGUUGAUCCUACAUAGCCAGCUGAAGACAGGCCUCUGCCAGUCCCCUAGAUCUUUUGAUAUCGCUGUGAGUAGUGGUAUAAAGUUUAGGUCAUAUGUGUGCUUUAAUUGUCUGGGUAAGUGGACCCCCAAGUAGUGUACGUGAAGGAGUAUGUGGCUUUAAGUUCCUGUUGUGUACGUCUGUCCAGUCGGAGGGGUAAGAUUUCGCUCUUUGUGUAGUUGACCUUAAAGUUGGAUAGUUCGGCAUACGUCGUCAAUUUGGCAAUCAGAGGUGGCAGGGAGGUGAGCGGGUUAGUGAUGGAGAAUAAUAGAUCAUCUGCAAAUGCAAAGACCUUAAACUCCUGUAGGUGGACGGUGAAACCAUGAAUGGUGUUGUGGUCUCGUAUUCCCUGCAGAAAGGGUUCUAGAGAGAGGAUAAAAAGUAAGGGGGAGAGAGGGCACCCCUGUUUCGUGCCGUUUCUAAUGUGUACUGAGCUUGAUAGUUGGCCGUUUAUUCUCAAUUUUGCCGUUGGAGUGGAGUAUAUGGCUCCCAUCCAUUUCAUCCAAUUUGGGCCAAAACCCAUGGCAUGAAGGGUGGCGNNNNNNNNNNNNNNNNNNNNNNNNNNNNNNNNNNNNNNNNNNNNNNNNNNNNNNNNNNNNNNNNNNNNNNNNNNNNNNNNNNNNNNNNNNNNNNNNNNNNGUCAGCAUUGUCCAGUCUACUCUAUCAAACGCUUUUUCUGCGUAUAUGGAUAGAAGUAGGCCCUGUCCUUGAGUGGUGUGGGAGAGGUGAUUGAGAUUUAACAGUUUUGUUGUGUUAUGUUUGGCCUCACGUUUAUGGACAAAACCAGAUUGAUCUGGGUGUAUUAUGGUGUGUAGUAUUGGUUGUAAAUGCAUGGCUAGGAUUUUUGUGCAUUUCUUUAAGCAUUUGCCUCCCUUUGCGUAAUAGGAGUGCUUGGUAUUUAAUAGCUUUUUCUUGGCCUGGUGUUGCAGUAAUUGUGUCAAUUCUGCGCGUUUAGUUAUGAGAUUGUUAUAGGUUGGUAGGGAACUGUCCCUGGUGUGGGUAUGUUCCAGGGCCCUAAUUUCCUGCGUGAGUGCAUCUAUUCUCUGUGUUCUUCGUUUUUUGAGAGUGGCCACAAUUGCUAGAAAUUCCCCCCUUAUGACACAUUUGUGUGCCUCCCAGGUUGUGAUGGGGGAGAUGGUUGGAAGCGUGUUUUCCUGGAAGUAGUUGGUGAGUGCGGUUUCCACUCGCGCUGUAAUGGUGGGGUCAUUGAGGAAGAAAUUGUUAAGCUUCCAAUGAUAGGAUGCUAGUGGGAGUGUAGGGAUUUGUACGGCAAGAGACACGUGUGCAUGAUCCGACCAGGUGAUCGGGCCGUAGGUGCAAGAGACGGCCAAAUGUAGGUGAUCUUGGGGGAGGAAUAGCCUGGAGUAUGUGCAUGAGACCGUGGAGUAGGAGUAGUCUCUAGCUUGGGGAUGUAUGGUUCUCCAGCAAUCAAAUAGCCUAGCCUGGUCAAGAAGGUGUGUUACCUGUCUCCUUGGGUGGUCUGAUAUUGUGUGGAGAUGGAGGUCGUGUCGAGGGCAGAGUCUAAGGACAUAUUUAGGUCACCACCCAAGAUUAGCAUGCCCUCUAUGAAAGGUUCAAUUAUGCGGAGGUAUUUCUUGAGGGCUUUACCCUUGUGUCGAUUGGGUAGAUACAUGUUAGCAAAGGUAAGUGUGGUUUGGCCUAUCUGGCCCUUUACCAGGAGCAGCCUGCCCCCCUCGUCAGUUUUGUGGUCUUUGUACGUGAAGAGGGUGUGUGCGGAAAAAAGUAUGGCUACCCCCCUGACCUUGGCAUUACCGUAGUUACUGAAAAAUCCUGUGGGGUAUACCCUGCUUUUGAGAUUGGGGGCUUUGUCUUUUUUAAAGUGGGUCUCUUGUAGACCUUUUUUGUCUAUUCAUAUUGCUUAUAAGCUGCAAGUAGUUAUUUAGACUGAGGAUUCGCGACCCAAGUCUAUGUUAUCCAUCUAUCCUGCUUGUUAGCAUAGCGAUGUUUAGAUGUAAGGUUUUUUUAGGGUCUUACAAUUGUACUGCUGUGUAGUGGUCUUUGUUCUAUUUUAACUUUUUACUGCUUGAAGUGCAGAAUAAAAUUGUUUAUCUUUUUAUUGCAUUUGAUCUUUUGCCUGUAUAGUCCAGCGCCCUCCUAUAGGUGGGUUUACUCCCAUCUUAUAUUUGUCCAUCUUGUAGAAAGACCACAUCAGCUUUCAGUUUGUGCAUCUCUGUGAGCGUUAUGGAUUGUUUCUCAGGGGUGUUAAGGCCUUUGACAUUAAGGGUGACUAUUUGUAUGGUGGCCGUCGGAUCUGAGUGUGUGUGUGUGUGAACGUGCCAGUGGGACCAUUUUUCUCAUAGUGAGAAAAAGGGAGGGGAGGGGAGGGGGAGGAGGUCCAUUGCAGGGGAGAGAGAGUAACAAAAGAGAAAAAGAAAAUAUAUAAACACAGUAAGUAACUUAUAUACAAACAGGUAUUCAAUAAGUAAAUUGAAUUUUUAACCAUCCCCUUAGACUACAGGGAGGCGCAGGCUUGAUACCAGUCGUCAGCCAGCAGUCUGAGGGGAGAACCUCUGGUGUCGGACCCAGAAUGGGAUGUCGCCACCUGGGUACGUCCGUGACACCGUGGUGUGGGUCGUACCGACCUAGUGCACUGAAAGUCUUCAAGUAGACAUGUGAUAAUAAUGAAAUAUUAGAGGAGGGGCGGGGGUGGUCUCGGACAGCUGACGUCAACCAGUAACUCCCGCAAGGGAGCAGAAGAAGUAUCGGUCUACAGUCAAUCACUGCCAGAGCACAAUCCCGCUUACAUAUUUCACAACGCAGCAAGUAUUUAGUCAUCGCUAGUAAUGAGAUUAUAUAAACAUAUUAAACUAUUCUAUGUUUUUUUUUUUUUUAUAUGUAACAAGUUGAUGCUCGUUCUAAACCAUUUUUAGUGGGCCAAUAGGUAGGGUUCCAGUGUUUUGCCACGGCCAUCUGCCACCAGCCUGGUCAUUGGGUCAGCAUAGUGGGGAGAAAAUUAGUGCUUUAAAACAGGGCUGUAUAGCCCUCAACUACACAAUCAUUGGGGAUAGCUAGCGCUGUGAAUGACUAUGAAAGGCCACCUGGUUCGGUGUUAUUUUCAAAGAAUUCGACAGCUUGGGACAAUUGGCUGAGCGUGCGUCUACUGGGGGUUGGUAGCAAGGAGAUCGCUGCUCUCCGCUAUACCAGUCACCAUAAAGCGGCAUAUGCGCAGCUGUCGAUUGAUACAGUCACCUGGUUCUCAGCGGUUGUACAUGAGUCUAGGAAGAAGGUGGCCCUGAUAGAUGUCAUCCAAUUUCCAGCAGCGUGGUGGAAGCGUCUGGUGUAGUAGGUUUCUGUAGCCGUCUGGAGCAGGUUUUGGCUAGUAGCGGGUGUCAGUGAAGUUUUAGCUAAAGAUGAGAUUGUGGGCACUAGGGCCUUAGCCGGCAGCAGUACAUACCGUGUGCGCAGGGAUGGAAUCUAUUCAGUGUUGCGUCGGGUCUCGGUUGUCUGUUUUCUUUUUCUUGGGUGUUUGUUGCCAUCGGGAUCUCUGUGGUAGCUGAGGCAACAGCGGCGUUUGCAGCGGUCCAUACCAGUCCUGAAUAUAUGGGUCUGUUAGGUUGAGAGUGGUAUGUCUGCGUGAGAGUGGAUUGCAUGCUGGGUACCUUUGUAUGUGACACUUAGCGCAAGUGGGAAUCCCCACCGGUAUCUUAGGUUUCUGGAUCUCAGUUGAUCUGUAAUAGGUCGUAGGAUCCUUCUCACUUGGAGGGUUAGCCAGGAGAGAUCUGGGUAGAUGGUAAUUGGAGCAUCAUGAAACAGUAGAGGUUGUGAGGUCUGUUUCAGCAUGUUUAGUAUGUCUUCUCUACAGGUAUGGUAGUGAAGCCUGCAGAUAACAUCUCUGGGUUUAUCAGUUGCUACACCUCUGGGUUUCAGUGCCCUGUGUGCUCUGUCUACUAGAAUGUGGUUGUCUCCUGGUUUUCCCAAUAUUAGGUUGAAAAGUUUGUUUAGUGUUAAGUAGAUAUCUUCCUGUUCAUUUUCUGGGAGACCCCGGAUCCGCAAAUUGUUGCGGCGCCCCUUAUUGUCUAGAUCGUCUAUGGACCUAUGGAGCGCGGAUAGGUAGGUAUUUUGGUGCUCCACCGCUGCUUGCAAGGAGCUUAGUUGUGUGUGCAUGGCGUCCCGGUCAUCUUCUAGGGUAACCACCCGGUCGGAAACCUGGCGGAUUUCUGAGCUAAAAAAGUCCAUUUUGGCCUGGACUGAGGCUUCCAGCUGGGUCAGCAUACCUGCAAUAACCUGCUUGGAUGGUAAAUUCAGCAGGAUAUCCUUUAGGUCUCCAUCCGUUUGAGGGCCCGAGUUGUCUGAGUCUGCCAGGCUGAGGGGAGACAUGCAGAGAGGCGAGGAGUCUGCCGCCAUGUUGGGGCCUAUCAGGCCUGCAUUGCUGUGCCCGGUCUCGGAAAUAUUUGGUGAGUGCGCCCGAUUUCCCCGACGGGGUUUUGCUGGGGGCUUGUUGGGAAGAUGUGGCUCGCUUAGGGUGACCCAUCGUUGUUUUUUGUGGCCCGAUUAGGUCGGAUUGCACUUGGCGUGGUCGGAGCGGUUUCAGAACGCGGCCAUUCAGCAGCUCGGUCGGCCCCGCCCCUCCAUAAAUAUAUUCUAUGUGUGUUUAUUUGUUUUGUUUGUUAGUUGGUGAUUCUCUAAACCUCUUUUCUUAAAAUUAGAUGAUAAAUCUCACCUUUUUAUUCAGUAUUAGUAUUAAAAGUUAAGUUUUAUUUAUUCAGAUAUAUAGUGAUUAGAAUGCAAUAUUUUUCCACUCCUACCAAGGAAUAUAGAUUGAUAUUUAGUAAUUUCUACUAUUUUACCUUUAAAUACACAGAAUUCCUUCUGUCCUUCUCUUUGUUUGCUAUCCAACCCAGUUUCAACCCAGUUAAAAGAUAUACGGAGACAAAAUAAGAAUUACUGUGUCUCAGUAUGUUUCGUACCCCUGACAAAGCUUGAAGGUGAGCAGAGCUACCGCCUUCAAGCUUGUCAUUUCCCCAGCUGUCCUGGUCUUGUUGGAUCCUCAAUAGACCUCAAUGCUGUACUCUUGCACAUGCGUAAGGGUAUACAGCAGUGACAUUGGCUCUUGGUUUGCAGCUAAAGCACCAGGAGCAGAAGAUAAGCAGCAGGAAGAGAAGGGUGUUCCAAUGAUGGACAGGUUCAGGUAAGUAAAACUCACAUUUGCCUGAAUCCCCAGUGGCAAUGUAUUGUCAGGUGUCUUUGCAAAUCAUGCAAUGUCACCAGAUGGUGAUAGAUCCGCUUUAAAGGGACACUAAGAACUCUUAGACCACUUCAUGUCAAUGAAAUGAUCUGGGUGCAGUGUCCCUUAUAUUUUACCCUGCAAUGAUAAAUAUUGCAGUUUUAGUUGUUACAGCAAUGUUUCUAUAGCAGGCUCAGACUCUGCUCUCACAGCUAACCUCCUCAAAUGCACCUCAUAGAGAGCAUUUGAUUGGAGGAGCUCAACGCUGGCCGUGAUUCUUGUCCCCAAAGCUUCUUUAUGGAGGAGCACUGGAUGAGAAGACAAAGAGUCAGUGUGAUGUUGCAGGGUGCAGAUCCAGCGGCUGCAGGGACUGGAUCUUGGUGCUGGAAAUAAAGGUAAUACCUUUAUAAUGUUUUUUUUUUUUUUUAAAUUUCAUUUUUCUAUUUUUCUAAAAGGUAUGGCUUGAAUCUAAAGGCAGAGGAGAACACUUUAGCAUUAGGGAUACAGGUUUUAUUUGCUAAUGUGAUGGUGUUCUUUUAAGGAAUUAUGACACCAAAAAACCUCCACACAGUAUGACAACUUAAUUGAGAUGAAGCUUUUAUGUUGCCAUACUAUUUCUUUAACUUCCAUGUCAAUGCACCUUUGAAGAAUUAAGCAUUUCCUCAGUCAAUUUUUCUGAAAUAUUGAAUCCAUCAGGGAUACUAUAGGCAUUAAAUGAACUUUAGGCUAAUUAAACCGUUUUAGAUAGAUUAUGCUCCUGCAGUCUCACUUCAUUUUCUGCCAUUUAAGAGUUAAAUCACUUUUGUUUCUGUUUUUACUAGCCACACACCACCUGGCUGUGAAUUACACGGCCCACAUGGGGGGGGAAAAGGUAAAAUUUUCCCGUUCUGAUAACUUACUUUAGACGUUUUUAUCUCCUGCUCUGCAAAUUGUACUUUCAUCACACACAGGAGACUUCUACAGGUGCUGUUAAUAGAGCAGGGGGGUAAUAAAUUCUAGAUUAAACAGACUGUGCAAUACAGAAACUUAGAAUAUCUAGGUCCUUUUUCAGGAAGUGUUUAGAAAGGCUGUGCAAGUCACAUGCAGGAAGGUGUGCCUAGACCUGUAUAAGCAAAGUGAUUUAACUCCUAAUGUCAGAGAACUGAGCAGUGGGACUGCAUGGGCAUGGUCUAUGCAACAGAGCUGCAUCAUUAAGCUAAAGUAGUUUUGGUGCCUACAGUGUCCCUUUAAUUAAAUGUACCAAAAAGGAUUCUGUACAUUACUUAUUUUCAGAAAUAUGUUCAUGUAUUCUUAUGCAUAUGGGAUGUUUCUCUUUUUAAUAAGAGAAACAUCCUCUAAUUUCAGCCUUGUGUGGGAGGAGGAGGAUAAUCCCUCAUGUUCAUCCACCAUCUGUUUAAAGACCACAUUUUCCUCUGCCAGGUCCUACUCCAUCAGAUUCUUAUGUGUGGUUUUAUUGUACUUGUAAUUUUAGACAUCUGUUUUCUCAGUAAAUUUUUGUGACUCUCCCCCCCCCCCAUUUUUUUUUUUAAAUUAAUGAAUGUGAAAAAACAAACAAACACAAAAUGUAAGGCUCUGGGUGGAAAAGCAAUUACAACAUGCCUUUACAUGUGCUGAUAUUAUACAAAUAAAAUAGGAAUGCGUUCCCAUUAUAUUGCACUCGCGUCUAGGUAUAAAGGCGUGAGAUGUCAGUUCUGUAACUUUGACUAUUUAGUAGCUUAAAUAAAGAUGAAAAGGUAGUUCAGAAUUGUUGAUUUAUGCUCUCUAGUGAUCUAGCCUAACGAGACAUAUCAUUCUAUCAAAAAAGGAAGUACUUUUAUUAUAAAAAAUGCAUGAAACACUUUAAAAAUAACAUGGAAUCCUUUUAAACUAGUUACUCUUUGAUGUUCAUCCACUUGGCUACGUUUAUCUGUUCACCGUUUAAACAAAUGCACACCAUAUUCCCCCCACAGAUUUAGUGCUAUGCAAAAAUUGCAUAGAAUCUGUUUAUAGACUACAACAUUUUACCAUUAGAUUGUGAUAUUCCAAUUAGUAGUUUUGUUGUNNNNNNNNNNNNNNNNNNNNNNNNNNNNNNNNNNNNNNNNNNNNNNNNNNNNNNNNNNNNNNNNNNNNNNNNNNNNNNNNNNNNNNNNNNNNNNNNNNNNGAAUACACUUUUAUUUCUAUACUGUGUUUGUUUUUUGUUUUUUUCCCACCAGUAUUCAGUCUAUAUAGAGCAGGGUGCCCAGUUGUUGUAGAACUACAACUCCCAUGAUGCUUUAGUAAGCUGUAGUUUUUAAAACAUCUGAGCAUCUACCUUUUGGGCACGUGGCAUAGAGCUAUUCGUUGCUAAACUGAAUGCAUAAACCUUUCUUCCCGUGAUAUAAUAUUUGACAUGCCACAAUCCGUGGUGUGUGAUGCUGCAUGACAGAUGAUCAUACAUCCACUCAUGUCCUUUGCAACAUAUGCUGAUUACUUCCAUAUCACAAUGCAUAGAAUAUGUUUUAGAACGCGCGCAGGUGGUUACAAGAUAGUAGAUUACUAUUUUAAUAUAACAAAAAAAUGGCAAUUAAGUGAUGAAAAAUAACCUUUAAAUAAAGCUUUAACUCUUUGAUAGCUUGAUUUAGUGAUUUAUUUUUUUCCGCCACCCUCCCCCAACGAUUUAGUCUGCUUGAAUUCGUUGAUGUUCUACUCCAGAUGUAUUUCAUGUCAGAGGACGUGCAGCCCUGGUGAUUUUAAAUAGUGGGAAAUAUACAGAGACUAUAAGUAGGGGAAAGUUUACAACUUCAGCAGAGAAAUAACGGGGACACACUUAAAGGGACACACUAAGCAAUAUAACCUCUACAGAUCGGUUUAGUGGAUAUGCUGUCUACACUGCAGGCUUCCCCAAGCUCCGGCCUUCCAAAUGUUGCUGAACUACAACUUGCAUGAUUCUCAGCCUACCUAUUUCAUUCAUAGAAAAAUGGGAGUUGUAGUUCAGCAACAUCUGGAGGGCUGGAGUUUGGGGAAGCCUGGUCUACAGUGUCUUGGUGCUGAUCCUCCACUUAAUGCCAAACUAUUUGAAAAUGAUUUGACAUAAACUGGUUUCCUUCCCAGUGACUGAAGACUGCUCCUCUUUAGUUGAAUUAACAAUGCAGAAUUAACAUUUCAGCAUUAUCAAUGCUAAUAGUGGUUAACCUGGAAAGCAGCGAUUAUCUGAUAGUGCCAUAGUCUGGUUAAUUCAGCAUUCUCAUUCAGUAAAUGCAAAAUUAAAACUGAUACAGUGGAAGUAAAAAUUUCACUUUAUCAAUGAAUACACAAAAGGGUGCAAUUACUGCAAAGAACUGCUUCUUAUAUCAAUUCAUCCAUAACUGGUUUGGUAUAACAGUGGAAAAUUGCACCAGGGCACAGAGGCCUAAUAGAGAAUCCACAGGUUCAGCAGGUAGGGAUGCAUUGUGCAGUUUAUUAAAGAAAGAAAUGCAAAACAAUACAAAGGUUCGGCCCAAUGGCCUUAAUUCUGCAUGGUACAUGAUUAUGAUACAUGAUUGAGGCCACUGGGCCGAAAUUUUUUUUUAUUUUUUUUGACUCUUUCUUCAAUAAUUUGCAAAAGUAUCCUAUAUUUUGAACUUGCGGAUUCUCGAUUGGAUAUUAUUAUUUGUAGGUUGCGGGCUUCCACCACAAAGUACCAAGGGGUGCAUUGGUUCAAACACUUGUUCUCCAGGAGUGCCACACCACUCUGUUUGUUUGUUUUGAAUUUUCAUUGCUACAUAAACCUGCACUAGUUAUGCUGCCAAAAGUGUCGUCUUAAAUGCUGGAAACUGUUGGCAACAUAACUAGUGCAGGUGUCUGUAGUAGUUACAGAGACAUGUCCUGCACUAGUUAUAGUGGAAAAUUGUUUUUUUGGAUUACCCGGUUCUUUAAAGAUUGUAGAUUAUGCUAACGCAGUGUACCUAUAAUUUUAAUUUUAUUAAGUACAGUAGGCGAAUAUUUUGCACUAAGCUCUCUUUAGUAAACUCCAGCAGCACAGAUUUAACAAUAAAGUUUAGUGGAAAACCAAACAAACAUGGGUAUAAAAGGCCCCUUCCCUUUAUCUCUUCCUCUUCCUUUGAUGCGAUAUAACAAGAAAUGCAUCAUUAAAAUAGAAUAAACAAUAACAAUGAGGGUUCAGACUGUAAACGAUCCGAAUCCCGAAUGUUGGGUUUUUCGAAGAGUGCGAAGACAAUCCCAUGUAUUGAUCCAUGAAGGUGAAUCAAACUGAAAAGAAACAAUGUCAUGAAAAGGACUUGGAAUUGAACUGUUUGUCAUAUAUACAUUAAUAUAAACUUAAAUUUUAUUUAAAAGUAAUCUUAAGUAAAAUAAUUACAAAUCUCAAUAUAUGUAACAAUAAUUAAAACGCCUAAUAACCCAAUACACACACCUCGAAUGUAUUCAGAUCUUUAUUAAAGUCAAAGAACAAUGAGUCACAUAAACAGGGAGGGGAAAAAGAAGAGUGGGAAAAUAUUUGCUUACUGUCCUUAAAAAAAUUAAGAUUAUAGGUACACUACGUUGGAAUAUUCUACAAUUUGAUAACCUGAUAGAAGGCUUCAUAUUUUGCAUUUUUAAAGCUGUGGAAGAAACAAAAGAUGCAUGAGAAACCUGAUGGAAAUGAGACACGGAAUGUACCUUCUCUAGUCCAGUCCGCGGAUCACAAAAUGAUGGUAAGCGAGGCACCCGCCGACAAAGCCCUCAACGCGGCUGCGCCCCAAACCGAGUGUUCGCCAAAACAAGAGUCUAUGUCUGCCAAAGAUAGCAACCAGGGAAAUCCUCUCACUAGAGUGGUGGACGUGACCGGAUGAUGUUUAGCAAAUGAAAUAAGAAGUUGUCCCGAUGGGGAUGUCUGUAGAGGAGCGGUACGGUCCACAUAUUGCAGUAACGUGUCCACCACGCAGAGGCGAGGGACAGCCCUAAAAAAAGGGAUAUUAGACGGAAGUGGAGUCUGUAUUAGUCCGACAGGAAAUAGAAAAUGACACUCCUUCUGGAGUGAAGGAAAACGGACCACGUCGAACACUUGCACGUCUGCAAUCCAUUGCAAAGACAAUUCCGUAUUGUCUGGCCAGUCUCAAAAAAAACUUAAAACUAGAUCUAUGUCCCACAUACGUGAGUAUUUGGGAGCAGGUAGUCUAGAUAAUCAAAUUCCCCUCAGAAGGCGACAGACCAGAGGAUUCUGGUCGGUAGGAGUGCCCUGUGGGGGAACAUAAACCAUCGAGACAGCCGAACGUGUCACGUUGAUAGAAUGAUACGACAUGCCCGACGAAAAAAGAUGGGAUUAGAAAUUCACUAUGGUGGUAACAGGUGCAGUAAAGUGAUUAAGAUCCCUCUCCAGACAGGCAACGUCCCUUCAGUGUCAAGAGAACUAGUCUGUCACGAGAUUGUUGGUUCCUGGUAAGUACUCUGCUCGUAGACUGAUGUUGCAGGGUAAGCAGAAUCGAUAUAUGUCCUAUGUUGCCUCCAUAAGGUCCCGGGACCGGGCUCGACACAAGUGGUUUGUGUAUCGAACCGCUGAUAUGUUGUCCAUGCAGAGGAGUAUGCGACAAUUUGAGACAUCUUUGGCCAGAUGCAAAUCACGAAUAAGCCUAUCCGUUCCAGUCAGUUUAUGUAGAGAUUUGUCUCCUCUUUGGCCUACGGUCCACCUGUGGAAGCGUGUAUGUAGUUGGUACUCCACCCCUUAGAUUCGCGUCUGAUUCCUCUAUGAAAACCGGCAUGAGUCUGAAAAUCGCUCUGCCAUUCCACGCCUGCAUGUGAAGUAACCACUAGUGGAGUUCGGUCCGUACUUUGGGUGUAACUGGUAUCCAAUGGUUGUAAGAGCGAAGACGCAUUUGGUCGAGUCGAUCUCGAAUUCCAGGCAUUGUAUCACCUGAGAAUGCGUUAGAGCUGAUUUCUCCUUGUUCACAAUGAAUCCCAGUGAUUCCAGAAAGUACACAAUGAAUUCCAUCUGUGAGCGCAGUCUGGAGAUGGAAUCGCAAAAGAUUCUAUGCUUAUUUUGCUGGGCCACUAGGUCCAAAAUUAGACUACAUGACAACAUGGGAGAGCGAGCUGAACGAAACUUUCACAGUUAAGGAAUGGCAUAAGAUCUUGUUAGCUUUGCAAAGAGUCACACAAUCAACUGCCCUGUUAUAGUCCCAUUAUAAACUAGUAUGCAGGUGGUACUUAACUCCCUCUUUUCAAUUUCAAACUAUUAAAUACGAACAAAUGCUGGAGGGAAUGUGGACAGGUAGGCACACACUUCAUCAUAUCUUUUGGCCAUGUCCAAAACUCACACAAUAUUGGAAAGAUAUACACACAUUAAUUGGAAUCCUUACCACUUUAAUUCCAACUUUAUCAAACACAAUGUGUCUCCUGAAGAAACUCCCGGAUAGGUUACCCAAAGCUACGGAAAUUAUAAUAAGUCAUAUCCUGAGCUCAGCAACCUCAGCCACACCUCGAUACUGGAAAUCGGACACUAUUCCUUCUAUGGCUGAGGUGUUAAACAAUAUAAUGGAGAUCAAGAGGUGUGAAUUGGCCAUUAGAGCACCCUCAUACACUCUGGAAAGGUAUGAAUGGGGACUCUGGGAGCGGGACGUCAGAAAAAAGGUAUUCACUUUAAUACUUACCUCACUUGACCAGACACCAAUACAGGAAGAUAUCCACUAUAAUUUUAUUUUCUUUCUUUUUAAAAAAAACCAAAACAAAACAGGAUACAGCAGAUCUGAGAUCUUUUUUUUAUUGUUGUUUGAUAUAAUACAUAAUUGACAUGUUUAUAACACAAACUAUUUCUUCUAUAUUUGCAAUUAAUACUGGAAACAUUUACUCGUUGUAUUCCCCAGUUAUAUCAUUUUUGUUUUAAGUUUAUUUGUAAUUCAUACAGUGUGAUUGUCAUUAUUGUUAUUGAAUAACUUUUAAUACUAAUAAAAAAAAACACUUGAAAAGGAAUCGCAAAAGAUCAAUAUGUCAUCCAGGUAGACCAGAAAUCGCAUACCUUGGGAUUGUAGGUGAGCCAUUGCUGGUUUCAGAAGCUUGAUGAGGUACCAUGGUGCUGAGCUGAGGCAGACAUGUGUAUUGAUGAGGUACCAUGGUGCUGAGCUGAGGCAGACAUGUGAAUAGGCAAUCUCAGGAAGCGUCUGCUCUCUGGUGCCAUGGGGAUGGAGAUAUAGGCGUCCUUCAGAUCUAGACGGGUAAACCAGUCGUUGGCCAGUAGGAGAUCACUUAACCGAUAAAUACCUUCCAUUUUGAAAUGGCGGUAUACUACAAAGGCAUGCAGGCGACGUAAAUUGAUGACUGGGCGGUAGUCUCCUGUCUCUUUCUUGACCACAAAUAAAUUGCUGAAGAAACCUGUCCUGUCUGUAACCACUUGGACUGCUCCUUUGACGUACCAGGCAUGGGUGUCUUUGCCCAUGAGCGACCUGUGGGUUGCUGCCACUCUUAAAGGAAAGGGACAUCUGACCUGUGUCUGUGUCGAGUGUCUGGGACCAGUGUGCCAGAAGUGGAUGGCGGCAUGGCCCCUCUGCUGACCAGCCCUGUCAAAAACACCCCUGCCAAGGUUAGGGCGAAACACUUGUCUCAAUGAUGAGUGGGCUUUGUUGAGAGUGGUGAAAAGGUUCACAAGCUUUUUAAGUUCAGCGAUGAAAGGUUCACCAAACAAAAAAACAUUUGCCAAUGGUCCUAUUUCUCUCUUCCCCAUAUAGGGGGUUUACCCCAUACAAUUCCAGUUUUGUGGUAGCGAACUAGUAUCCAGUUAUGUUGAGGUUUGUAUUCCUGUAGUGUCCUUUGCCAGAAUAGUGUGUUACUGUGUGGGUCACCGGGCAAGCCAGUAGGUCCUUGAUGUUAUGUAACAGACAUAUGGAUAGUGAUCAAGUACUGAUAUAACAUAACUGUCAUGCAUAGGGGUUAAUGUAUCACGCUCUGAUCAACCUAAAAUGGCCGCCAAGGAUGUUGCGAGAAUUCACAAGAUCCAAGAUGGCCACCGUUUGCGCCAAAAUUUCAGAUGGGUAGACCACAAAAACGCGGUCUCGUCGGCCCGUAAAAUUAUUGCGUCUGUAUCCCCACAACCCAGAGCACCCACCCAGACCUGACGAGUCCAGGAUAAACAGGAAAAACCAGAGGAAGGGUGGGAGAAGAAAGAUAAACAAUAUACAGGGGUGGAAGAGAUAGAUACAUGCAUACAAUAAGGCUAUAAAAAGUAUCACUUAUAGACAAUGUUAAGCAAUAGUAUAGUAAUAAGAUAUGAAGAAACAAAAUACUCUGAUCUGUGCCAGCAGGAGCAGCAAAGAAAGAGGAAGAGAUAAAGAGAGAGGGGUCUUUUAUACCCUGUAGCAAUAUGUUUUGUUUUCCACUAAACUUUAUUGUUAAAUUUGUGCUGCUGGAGUUUAGUGAAAAUAGUUUAAUGCAAAAUAUGAAGCCUCCUGUCAUGUUCUAAAAUUAGCUUUUACCAUGGCAUUUAAUUGUCAUACGCCCAAAAAGCUUAAUGGGCAACAAGUGUCAGAGUGCACGAGAAAAAAUACUACCAUACCUUUUAUUUUAUUUCCUGAGAUGUUUUAUUGGGCAUAAAACUGACUGAACGCGAAGCAAGUAAGCAAGUAAGUAAACACUAGCGUUUACCAAAAAACACUAAUCUGCACACAAAAUACAAAAAAAUUUUUAAAAAAUAAAAGGGACAUCACUCCUGCUUGUUGUGUCCCUUUAAAUGUCAGUUCCUCAAGGGAAAGAAAAAAAAUAUAUCUAGAGAAGUAUAUGCUUAAAGUCUGGUCUCCCGAAUACACACAAUAUAUAAAGCCACAAAGAAGAAUGUUUUAUGAAGUUAGUAACCAAAAUUUGAAUUUUUUACGUUCUAAUAAUUGUAAAAACUUUGUAUGCAGACUUGUGCAUUCUGUAUCAAAUGAAUUGGGAUUUGUCAAAAUUUUGGACGAUCACCAGUUUAUCCUAAAUCCUGAACUCCGAAAUGCUGUGUAGAAGUAUAGUAUCAUAAAACAAACAAAACAGACUGUGUGCCAAACCAUUUCAUUUGAAAUCAGAAGAUUGGUAAGUGAUGGUGGGUGGGUAGGGGGAUUAUUUUUAUUUAUUUUUUACUGCACCUUUUUUCCCAUCUUAGUUACUCCUCAAAUUGUGGGAAAGUGCACUUACCAGUUACUGCAAAACACAUAAUAUUUAUGUUUUUAAAUACACUGGCCAAUUUUUAGAACAUUUUAGUGUCCCCCCUCCCCACCCUUUACCCCAUGCACUAGUGUGUAUAGUGCUAUAUGCGAAUUAGAGGGUUUUACCGGUGCUGAUUAUAAAGUAUAUGACCUCACAACUCCUAGAUUACAAACAGUGAAUUGAUUUAAAUUUAUUGAAAGAAUCAGAUUAGUCUAAUAACAUUAUACAUUGCUGAGAUGUUAAUGCUUUGUGAGAUUAUAUAUAUAUAUAAAUAUAUAUUAUAUAUGUUUUCUUCCCUUCACAGAGUUUAAUUUUGCACUGAAGCCUUAGAAUAACACAUGGACAAAGAUGGAGAAUCUGGGAAAUGUAGAUACAGAUGACUUUCCUCCUCCUCCACCUGAAG